rnacentral:lncRNA from 1 species
GACAGAGAUCUUGGGGUAAAUGGGCUGCAGAGAUUCGAGAUCCCUUUAAAAGAAGCCGUGUUUGGCUUGGUACUUACGAUACCGCAGAAGAAGCUUCUCAAGCUUACGAGUCAAGGAGGUUACAGUUUGAAACUAUGGCAGCAGAAAUGGCUGUUGAAGAAGAAGGCAAAGGGAGUGGAUCAUCAUCUACCCCUGUUUUCUCGGAAAGUACGGCGGAAACCACCGUGUCUCAUACAUCGCCGUCGUCGGUUCUGGAAUGGGCUGAUUCAACUGUGCAAAGCCACGAUUUGAAAGAGGGAACAGAAUCGAUAAAAGAAGAAACAGACAGUAAUAUGAACUAUCUUCAAGAAGGGGAUCCGAGUAAUCCGUUUAUGGAGGAAAUUAGUAUGGGGAUUGAUUUUGAUUCGAUUCUGGCUGAUGGAAUCGGGAUGUUCUUGGAAGAUUUUGCAAGUUUUGAUAACACCCAAAUUUUAGGACUCGCUGAUGAUGAACCCAGUGGGCUUCCGAGUUGGGAUUUUGAAGAUUUUGGGAAUGAUGAUAUUUCUUGUUGGCUUGACGAUUCUAUAAACAUUACAUGUUCUUGAAUUUUUUUGGAGCUUAGGAGUUUUGUUCAUUUGAGAAUGCAGUUUUAAUUUUGUUUUGGAGUGAAACAUGAGAGAGGCCUUUAGGGGUUUUUGCUGUGCUGUGUUCUCUAUAAUAAGAGAUUUUCAACUCUUCCAAUUUAGUGAAUCAAAGUUGGGGGAUAUUGCUACCAAUCUCAUCGUGUAAAUUACUUUUUUCUUCUUUCUUCAAUUUACAAUUUUGACUCAGUGUUCUUUUAUAAAAACAACAAUAAUAUGCUUAUUCUGUAUCGUUUUUGGUAUAAGAUACCAAAGAGUUACACUGCCCUAAACAUUUGUUUAUAGAACUCUGUUCUUACUUUGAAUCAUGGUUAUAAACUUAUCUUUUAGUACCACGUGCGGAGAGAAUUGAACCUUCUGCCUAGGACUAUAGUUUAACAAUAAAUAAAUUAAAGGAACACCAUACUCUAAAUAGAUAAUUUUAAUUCAUUGUAACCACUGUGAAAAAGAAAAAAGAAAGCUGAGAAGUGUGAAUGAAAAAGGCAACACAGGUUUGUGAAAAUGAGCAAACAUGAUCAAAAGACAUACAAAGAAGAUCACUACCAUCGGGUUUUAGUGACCCUUUUAGAAGUCUUAAUUUUGGUUUAAUCAAGUUUUUUUUUUUUUUUUGGUGGGAUGGAAAUCAAAUGUUUGAUUUUGAACAUGGUUAUUUUUGGGUCUAUGCAUAAAAUAGGAGUGAUAAAAAAAGAAUUGUAAAAAAAUGGCAGAUGUAUGUUUGUUUGUUUUGUUUGAAUGAGAGAAUGGGUAUUAUUUUUAAGGUACGGAGGAAAGUGAGAAUGAGUACUUGGCGAUAUUAGCUGUAAACCAACUACGUAGUCUGAUCCAUAGUACCAUUUUCGUACCGUACCGUUACAUCUUAUCUCUUUAAUUCUUUCACAUAACGCUUUAUUUAUUUAUUGUAUUUAUUUCUUCUUUUUAAAAACGUUAUAUUUCUUUUUUUUUUCCUUCAAAUUUUAUUUUAUUAAGUCUAAAUAAUUCAGAAUAUAACGUCCCCUUUGUAUAACACAAUCAUAAAGAUAUUAUGAAGAUUUAUUCACUAAAUUAAGUAGGUUUUUGGACUAACUUCUAUUGAAGUUAAAAAUGGCUUUAAAAUGGUGAAUGAAAGUUCAUCAAAACUUGAAGUUUGAAAAUUAAAGUAAUUUGAAUUGUUGGAAUUUAGGAACAUAAACAAAGCGUAAGCAUAAUACUUAUGUAAGAACAACCCACGUGAGGAAGUACGUGUAUGCUAAUUUUAUCUACGUGACAAUAAUUGGUUAAUAAUAGAACGAUAACGAUAUCUAAUAAUUGAACAUUAUUCUGUAUUGAUUAAACUGUAAGUAACAGUCUCGUUCGAUUGUUUCUAUUGAAAUUAUUGAAUGCUUUAUCCAGUUCAAAGAAAUCCUUUGUCUUGGAAACUCUUGAUGGAGUCGUCAAACAUUUGCUCCAUUGUCUUGAAACCAGGGAAUCCCAAUUCAGAAAUCUUGCUCGUGUCCAUGUUAUGAGGGUUGCACUCUCCUUGCUGGAAGCUGCACCUGUUCGUGUUUGUAAUUUUGAACAAGAAUGUUUGUGAUGAUGAACUGCUUGAUGGAGUGAUUAAGGGGAAACAAAGAGGAUUUUCUUGAGAUUUUUCAACUUACUUGCUUUCAAAUGGGUAGGAUGGAUAUUUGGAUCUUAGCGUAUCAAUGAUCUGUGACCAGUGAGCCACUGUGCUUGAACAUAUGAUCCUGCCUGAUGCUUUUGGAUUUUCCAUUGCCAAGAUGUGCGCUGCUACCACAUCAUCUACGUGCACAAACCCCAACGUGCAGUUUGGAUAUUCUCCUCUUUCACCUGAUGGAACAACCCAUCUGUUUGAUGUUUGUUUGUUCGUUUUUUCCAUCAAAGAGAAAACUGAGAAAGAAAUUUAGGGACUGUUUGAAGAUGAUGGAAGGAUUAUUGUAAACCUUUCAUAAUGGUGAGUACGAGAUGCUGUGUACUGGUUGGCUUUGGUGUAAGCAAAGGGCCAACAACAAAAGAUGGGUUCACCACAACUAGAUCAAUCCCAUGCUCUCCUGCCAUACGCCAAGCCUCUUUUUCUGCUAGAGUUUUUGCAAAUGCAUACCAAAGCUGCCAAAAUACCCAAAUGAAGAAAGUAAUAGAGAAAAAAAGCCUCAAGAUUUUGAUCGAUUGAAUUGAAUUGAUCUUCCUCUGCACAUGGAAUAGAACAGAGAAAGAGGGGUUGGUUCUUACGUUGUAGCGCUUGCAAUAGUCGGGAUCUGUCCAAUGCGAUUCAUUGAGAAGACAAAGUUGUUGGACAUCAUAACGAUAUCUAAUUGCAGAGCAGGAAGAGGUGAGCACUACUCGUUUUACACUGUUUGCUUUUAAACAGGAAUUUAGUACAUUCACUGUACCAUUUAUACUUGGAUCAAUCAGAGUUGUCUGUGUCAUAUUGCCAAACGUUAAUCAUACACUCGCAAGGAAAUGGCUUAUUUAAUAAGAAUUAAAUAGUUUAGUAAAUAAGGUAAUCCCAUAUUCAGGAUAAGGUAGUGUGCAUGCCCCAGUUGUAGAUAAUAAAAAUAUUUAGAUAGUACUUGUUCUUGAGUUUGAGGACAGAGUUUUGUAUAGCUCUGAGUUCAGGUUCUUAGAUUGUAUAGACUGUUUGGACUAGACUGAGUUUCAGUUAUUAUAUAUUUUAAGGAUGGGGGCUGCUUUUGCCAAUCAAUAGAUUUACCGUGGAACGCCGAAUUCUUGAUCCUAACUAUGAAUUUAAAGCAUUUGCCUAAAAACACCCCCUUUAAGUUAACCAUAGAAUCAGGGCCUUGCCUUGAUGUUGUUAUCGUAGGGAACAAGAACAGGUGAAGCAGUGUGGAAGACCCCAUCCACCCCUUCAAUGGCUUCAUCAAAGCUACCUUCUUCUAACAAAUCAGCCUUUACUAUCUUCAGCCUCUCCUUGGCUCCAUUAAACUCCCACAGAAACCCAACACGUCCAUAGUCUCCUAUCCAGAAAAAUAAAAAAUAAAUGUUGAGAAUAUGUAUGAAAUGUUAGGUAUACCGUAAUCUGGAGACCAGUUAGUUGGCUGAGUUCAAAAUUCAAAUCAAAAGUUCUUUCUUUUACCUACUUUUUUUCAUUAAUUUUUUGCUUUAUUCCUUGUAUCGUGUCAAAUUGUCAAUAGUAAAAUACCCCUCUUUCUUUCUUUGGAAACGUUAUAUUAAUCUGCUGUUAUCUUAGUAAUCUAGGAAAAACCUCUAUGUUCAAAAUUAUGGAAACUUAUAUAGGACUACCAUUAAGAUCAAACAACACCCACAACUUGAUACCAGAGGAUUGAGAUGGAAUGAAAUUGUAUGAUGUCUAAAUUGUAAUUUUGAUGACUGCAGACUCCAAACUGGGGAAGGGAGGAGAAAUACAAAGCAAUGGAUGAGGUUAUAGUUCACAACCUGGGUUUCUAACGGUGGUGCGAACGUGAUGGCCAUUCUCGAGCAGUGUCUUGACCAAGUAAGAGGCUAUGAAGCCAGUGCCGCCAGUUACGCAGUACUCUGGCAUAUCGACUGGGUGUGGGUGGACGAUGGGUGUGUGCAAAGAAAGAGUUUAUACAGUCGUACUUGAGGACAUUGUUCAUGUGUGGGACACCUGCAGUUACGAUAUUGUUGAACUCAUUUACAAGAGUGGAAGAUGACUCAUCCAUUUUGUAAGGUUGAAGUUUUUUAAAAUAAACAUAAACUGUGCUUUCUUUGAUUUAUAGUCUUUUUGCCUUUUGUAUGGUGGGUGUGCUCGACGUCCUCCCUCUGCAGCUUGCUUUUUAAAGUGAUGUGGAGAGAAUAAGCACAAUAUUCAAUAAUAAACCCAAUACUGAAACCCUUAUCACGUGGAGUGUACUUGUAGCUGCACUAUAAAUUUGGUGUUGUUCUUUAUAAUAAGCCAUCCGAUCUUUACUUCGUUCGAGUUAGACAUGUGAUUGGACCAACUAACGAAUUGUUAUGUUAAUUCUAUUUUUCUAAUUCUACAUAUUAUGGGUUUAAUUAAUUAUUGAUCCAUUCAACACGUAUUAAAUUCGUUUAUCAAAUCUGUCAUAAACAUUUUUAUACACAAAAUUAAAAAUUUAUAAAUUCAUUAGACAUAUUUUAAAGUUUAACAUGUUAGAUAUAGAAUUAAAAGUUUAAAAGCUUACUUGAUAUGUCUUAUUGUCGUAUGUAUAAAUUAAAAGUUUAUAAAUUUAUUAAAUAUAUUUUAAAGUUUAAAAAUAACUUACUUGAUAUGUCUUAAUGUUGUAUGGUUUUUGUACUUGAUAUUUAAAACACGAGAUUUUGUAUUUGAUAUUUAAAACACGAUAAAAUACAUCACUCAAAAUCUUCAAUCCAUAUAGGGAUUGAUUGAGUUUAAAUUAAUUGUAUAUAAAUCCAUGAUGAUUUGAUAUACAAGUUAAGUUGGUCUCACUUAGGAUUUUCCAUAUUUCCAGCAUUUGUCGGGCAUAUUUGCAUACACUCACAUGGAGAAGUUUGAUAAGCGAUAAUCACUAAAUUUAAACUUCCAUAAAUCUUAUCCUCUUUAUAUACGAUAUAUAAAAAAAAGAUAUGUAGUUGGUGUAUAUGAAUAGUAAUAACAAUAUUAGUAGUUAGUAUAGUAUUAAGCAAGUUGCUUACAAUCCGUUAGACAUAAAACUCUAAUCUAGCAUGGUUAAUUAUAUUAGAAAAUUGAAUUGAUUAUUUAAAAUAUUGAUAGCAUUAACAUGAAGUCGUUGUAGUAUAGUGGUAAGUAUUCCCGCCUGUCACGCGGGUGACCCGGGUUCGAUCCCCGGCAACGGCGUUUGUUUUUUUUUUUACGGCCCUAUUUAAACUCCCUUACCCUGGCGGAGGGAAAUAUACGAACCCGCCAUAAAAACGUUCUAACAAAUUUCUUUCCCGCGCGAGGUUUCUCCCUCUCUCUUGGUUCUGUAUUCUCUCUGUCUACCAAGGGUUUUCAGAUAAUCCACUUAUUCCAUACCUCACUCUUCACCGGAUUCUGCUAUUCAUUCUUAAUCUCUUGUGAUUAUCUGUGCUUUCAUUUUCCUUCCAAUGACGAGAGCUCAACUCAAAGAACACGCGGAUGCUAGUCUUGAGAUAAUUUCCAUCGGAUCCUUGUACACUGGAUCAUGGGACAAGAAAUACUGGAGCAGCUCUAGGGUCUGUUUGUUUUGUUUUGUUUUUUUUUUUUUAUCUCUCUCUCUCUCUCUCUCUCUCUGUAUCUUUUGAUUUAUUUGCUGCUGUAAUUGAUUUCAUUUAUCGUGUUGGUUGUCUUGCAGUUUUGAUUUCACCUAUCUAGGUUUUAUUUGACAAUUUGUUUAUCUCUUCAAGUGAAAAACAUGCGAUUCGGUGCUUGUAACAUCGUUUCUUCCAUUUGGAAUUCUGUAUUGUUUUUUCUGUUUCGGUAGCUUGAAACUGCAACUUACUGAUUCCCAAACUUAUCUAGCUAGGCUUUUUCUGUAGACUCAGUAACUAUUAGUUGAUCGAGUUGUUUACUUCACGAAGCUCAACUGAUAAACUCAUUCUGUGUUGUGCAAAUUUGGAGUAAAUUGGCUUCAGUACAAAUGUCCAGUAAAUCUAAGUUGCAUGAGGUGGAUUGCAACUCUCAGGAGAGUUAGUUAUAAAGGGUUUCGAUAUCUAGACUGGGGAAUUAUGUCCACUUGGCGAAUUUGUCAAAUUGAGCUGCUUGCUGAACUAUUACCAUUCUGUUAUACUUCAUGUGAUCGUUGUAAUUACAAAUGUAAUAUACCUGAAAAGGGCUCUUUAGACAAGAGCAGUCGUCAAAGAGAUCUGGAAAUAUGGAAUUUGGAGUUUUAUGUGGUAGUUUUACUGAAUUUUAUGAAUUAUUUACGGAAGAUAAUUGGCGUGGGACUGAUUGAUUAUUUAGGCGUGUCUAUUUCAACCCGGCGAUGUAAAUAGGAUGUAAAUUGAGAAUGGUGAUUAUCCCAUUGUUUUUCUUUUUAAGAGACUCUUAUUACAGCUUCAAGAAAGUCGGAGAAGAUGUAUUUAGAUGAUUAUGGAUGAGGAAUCUCAACGGGGACUCGCUGUAAUCAUUGAAUUAUUGUGUAGGGUAAAGAUCGAUAUCCCUAUCCGGUUGGGUAUCAGGCUGUUCGGGCUUAUAAUGGGAUCAAAUACAAAAUGGAAGUUCUUGAGGGUCCAAAGGGGCCUUUAUUUAUGGUGUGUAUGAUCUCCCUAUUAACCUUUGAAUAUCUCUGCUCUCAUGUCAUUGGAAAAUAUUUAAUAAAAGGUUACAUCGGCCCUUGCAGAUUUUGUCCAUGGAUGGAACUUCAUUUUCUGGUCAAACCCCUGAUAUUGCUUGGGAGAUGUUUCAGAGGAAAGGCUGCCUCCACACUAAAAUUUGGCACGGGAAAAGGUCUUCAUGCAAGGUUGAUGGCGCGGAGGUAGAACUUUUCUCUUUCAAUCUGCCGUAUGUUUGCUUUCUUAGCUUUGAAUUUUUCUACGGAACCCUUUAACCGGUGGAGUCGACCACUAUUAAAUGAGCACUAUCUUGCUGUAACAUUUCUUAAUUUCUAGCACUUCUCUGAUCGAUACUUUAUUUUAUUCCCACUUUCUUGACAUUAUUCAACCAUGGUAACUCUUUUCAUUCUUGAUACCAAACUCAGCUUUGCGUAAAUGUUCUAGUGACAAGUAAUUGGAUGGUAAAACUGCGGAGUUCAUCUUCUCAGUUUGAAUAUAUCACCACUGAGCAACGUCACUUUCAUCGGCAAAAUGCUCUUGUAUCUGCACAAGAGAAAUUGAUUUCUUUCAAUCUUAAGCGCCAUGAUUAACUUUCUAGCUUCUGUAGUCUAUGUAGUACAUAUUUGAAAUAAUAUAGCUAAAUGCUGUUUAUCUGGAAAACAUAAUUAUCGCAAAUCUCAGGUGCAAGUGACUUGCUUUUUUUUUUUUUUUUUUUAAUUAUCAUGGGUUGAUCUAAUGGUAAAAUGGGAGACAUUGUCUCAAAGUAAGCUGGCUGGAGAUAUAAAAAAGAUGAACUUGCUCCUUUUUAUUUUUUCUCAAGAAUGGGGCCAAUUAACUAUUUUACUUCAAGGUAACUUCUGCGAGAUAAUUGGUUAAUCUUCUGGUGUUAACAUAAUAUUACUCUUACAUGCGUGCAGGCAUGCAAACACCCAAUCAUAUGUAGUAUUUUAAUCACAGAAUAUUGUAUGACAUGAUGCAAAUAUACUUCUUUCUUUCGUUCUUACAAUCUUUCUUCUCUCUUGAUCAAUUGGAGGUUUCUUUUGUAACUCCUCUGGCAUAGGCUUCGGCCUCUUCUUGUACAUUCACACAUCAAUGGAAUUUGUUUCUUAUAAAAAAAAAAAACAAAAUCACAGAAAUAUCAGAACAUCAGGUAACAUAAUUGUAUUUCUUUUCGUCCUUUGUAGUUUUUUGGGUUCAAAAAUCCAUUUAUUCAGAGGUUACUCCGGGAGCUAGUGGCAAAUGUCAGUGGAACAGCAGAACUAGGCGUGCUUCCUUCAAACAUAUGCAAUAAGGCUUCCGGAUCUGCACAGACUGCAGUUGAGCAUCAUACUAUUCAUGAAUGUGAAAAUGUUGCACUAGUUGCUUGCCAUGAAAAACCGAAGACUGCAAGAAAGAGAAGGAGUUGUCAUGGAACUGAAAUGGAAAAGUCACUUAAUGGUACUAAUCUAAAAAAAGUACGUAAUCAUGGUUUGAGAAUUAGAUCCACGACCACAAAGCAUUUAAGCUCAGCCUUUGCCAAUGAAGUGAAUCAAGGUUUUUGUGGUAAGUAUGUAAAGAAACCAAUUAAAGAUUGUUCCUUUACUGUUUGUUUCUCAUUAAAAAAAAAAGAUUGUUCUUUUACUAUGUCAAAAAGAAAAAAACAGUUCAGCAACGUUUUUGGCAGCAGUACAUGUAAUGUCUGAAAGAAAGGAUAAAGAAUCUGUAAGUUGCCAGCCAAAUUUGGAUUUCCGUGGUAAUUUUAACAUCUUUGUUCAUGCCUCAGAGAAAGCUAUGUGCGUACAAGAGAAGGUUGCUGUAUCUGAGUCCACUCAAGCAGCUCACAAUGUGUCCAUUGACGAAAAACAUGUGAGAUUAUAUUCUUUUUGUUCACUUGUGAACUUCCUCGUUUGCUUUUUUAAUUUAAUUUAAUUAUUAUUAUUUUAUUUAUUUAUAAACCACCGUUUACAUUUAGGCUCUUAUUCACAUUUUAAUAGAUAUAUAGACCACAGAAGCAGAGAUCAUUUUGAGAAAUGAGUUUUAUAUUCCUUUUGUCAGAUUUAGAAAUUGUGAUUGUUCGAAACGCUCUUAACUUCAUACAGCAUGAUAGGUUAUCAAUGGAAAAAUUGGAAGGUAUUAGUCUAGAAAUGGAAACAGAUGGUAACAGUGCAGAUGGUUCUAUUCAAAUGUUGUAUUGUCCAGAUACUGAAGACAGUAAUCAUCACGCUUCACAUACUUCAGGUAUAAAGCAAGGUCUUCUUGACCUAUCAAUUUUAUUUUAUUUAUUUGACAAAACAUAGGCCUGUUUAUAUAUUGUCUUUUUUAUUUCAAAAUUUUAUUAUUGGAUGCAGUUACUGUUGAGUCUGCUCCUGUAAGCACGGAAAAGAAAAUUCUCAAUCAGCAUGAAUUCAUCAUACCUGAAGAGUUGGUGAUGGACUCCCAUUCAGAAGAGAUUUUCUCAUUGGACACAAACUUAGGCUCCAACAAAAAUGAUUUUGAUUCAGUAGGUCAAGACAUGGUGAAGUCGAUGAUGACUUUUUUGCUUCCACAAGCAAUUCCUCUGCUUAAGGAAAAUUCUGGCAGGAAAGAGAUGGCCACUUCUAAUAUGGAAAGGUUUAUUUGUGGUAAUUUAUAAAUAACCUGCGCCUACUGUAACUAACCUCGACUUCAAUGACAUGUUAGUUAUGUGUGCAUGUGCAAGCUUUUUAACUUUACUUAAAUAUAUUUUGGUUCAUCCGCAGAUGGAAAUACAAAAAAUGUAUUGCCUAUAGAGAUAGAUGGAGAAAAACAGGAAUACAUGCACAUACAAUGUGGGAGUUACGAAUUUGCUGUCCCAAGUCUUAAGUUCUCCAAACACGGUCUUGAUAAUCAUGAGGGUGAGCAUCAUGAUGACCAUGCAAACAUUAAUUGCAACUUCUCUUCUAUUGCAGACAAUGGUCAAGGUAAGGAAGAUAUGCAACCUAUUGAUUCUUGUGAACGCAUGAAUGAUGAGUUGGUAAAUGAUCAUGAAGCCACUGGAAACAAGAAGUCCUCUGACAGUGAAAGUGGCGGAAAUUUGCGUGGAACAUGUCAGGACGAUAAUUUGUAUGUUUCCGAAUGUCCUCCCAGCACCUCUUCUGGUAGAGUGCUUUCUGAUGAAACCAUGCAUAAUAACAAAAAGACUGAUGGAUGCCCAUUAUAUCUUGAAAAGAAAACUCCUAAAGUCCAUGUAGAAAGCCAUGUUGAUGAGCAACCUUGUUCAAGUGGAUCCUCUUCUCAACUCUUGCACGGUGAGAUUUGUUAUCAUGCAUACAUCCUUCUUCACCUUAGCAAUUUAGUUAGUACCAAUCAUUCACUAACGAAAACACCAUUGCUAUAAACUACAUCUGUACUUUAAGGGCAUUUCUGUGACUUACUACUUCAUGUUAAUUAAAUUUGAUAUCGAAGUGCAAAUUCCUUUACAACCAAUUUAUUAACUAUGAAAAUCUAUUAAUUGAUGCUAUGCCAUCUUUUUUCAGCUAAAAAUGCAAAUGAUUCAAGUGUAAAAACCUCCACAUGUUCAGAGGCAUUAAAUAAGGAAGAUACUGUAGGACAAGAGGCUGCGGGAAUGGAUACUUUGCCAUCUUCUCAAACUCCAAACAUUGUGUACCGUAGGAGAAAAGCUCAAAAUGUGUCUCAUUUGGGUAAAGAAUACAAACGGCAAUCCAAUGAAGGUUAUGAUACUAGUUGCUUGGGAAAAUAUUUUGGUGCUGAAACGUCUUCCCUGAAAUCUCCACAUUCUUAUGAUAUCAAUCUUUUCUCUAUACCUGAAAAUCAACAAACAGAAGAAUUACGUUCUGAACAUCCACUUCGAGAACAAUCUCCAAUUGAUUGCAGUUAUAAAACUACUAUGAAAGCUGAAGCAGGAUUAGAAAAAAGAUGCCAUCACAGUCCUACAUUUGACGUAGAUGAAGCAUCAAUUAGAGCCAACAAGAGUCAUGAUUCAGGACUUCUAGAAAAACCUGUUUUGAAGGAAGAUUUGGAAGGUUGUAUUGACGAGGGAAUGAUUCAGCAUAAUAAUGUUUUGAGUAUAAAUAAAUAUGAGUUAUCUCAAGAGAUGGGGGCAACCCUCAGAGACGACAGUAAGAAUUCUUAUCCUUCUUGCAAUGUGGAGCUCUAUCGUGAGGCAGAAGGAAUGUCAAAAAUAGUGGGAUCUUAUUUGCACCCUUUGCCUGUAUUAUCGGUUUUCCUUAGCAACAUUGAGAAUGUAAUCCACAUAUGCGUUUUGUGUGGUCUUUUGGUGGAAAAGAACAGAACAGUCAUUACUUACACGGUGGAAGUGAAAGAACCAAAGGUAGGAUACCCAUCCUUGGUUGGCCACACGACAGUACUGAUGCCAACUCUAGAAGAUUAUUUGGGUAAAGAAGUGAGUCUUAUCUUUAUAACUUCCUUCAGUUAAUUUACGGUGUUGGACUUUCCUUGACACGGAGGAUUUAAUUCUUUAGUUUAUGUUACCAAGAUUGCAGUAGAGCGAACAGGUUUCCAAUUGACUCCAGGUGGCAACUAUCUUGUUUUAAUUGGUGGCAUUAGAACACCUUUUUGCAGGUUGUGAGCAUUUUCAUGAAGUUUAAGUACGUAUUAUUUUAACAACAAUAUUAUGAAAACUAAUACUGAAAAGAUAUUCCCAGGACAGGGAGUAUAAAUUGUCCAUGCUCUACAUGUACAUCUGGUGAGUUUGAAGAGAAUGUGGUAAAGAUUGUGCAAGUUAAACACGGCUACGUAUCAACCAUCACAAGCUUGAGAAGUACCGACAUUCUGCAUUGUAUAUUGGUCUGUGAACCUGACCAGCUUGUUGCUGUUGGAAGAGGUGGACGUCUGCAUCUUUGGGUCAUGGACCCAACUUGGGGGUGUGUUCCAUCGGAACUAACCAUUUUUUAAUUUUUGUUUCCACAUAUAAAAUUGAUGUCUGAUAAUAAAUGAAUGUGCAAUUAAUUCUUCCCUUCAAUUUAGAUACAAGAUCAAUAUGCAUCAUAAUCACUCAAAUGAUUGAUUUGGAAAACUUAAGAUUCAAGUUAUUCAGUAAAGAUGAACCCCCUCAUUUUGUAUACAUAUUGUUAUUGCUGCAGUACUUUGAGAUUGCAGAGCGUUGGUGGUGUACUGGUUCAAUGGAAUAUUUAAAUAUAUGCUCGUUUGAAUACUGCAUUAGUAACACGUUAAAAUUCCAGCUGCAAUCUAAAUGACAACACGUUUAAAUACUGCAUUAGUAAGCUUCCACGGUUUUUGAGCUCUAUUUUCUCUAAUGAUUUGUGGCUAUUACUUAAGGGAAGACUUUGGGUUGAGGUUGUCCCUUUGUCUGUCAUUAGAUUGGCAGUAUAAACAAAAUUUAAUGUACAAUGUUAAAUAAUUGGCUCUGGCUUUAUUAUUCUUCAAUUGGUAGCUCUGCAAUUGUUCAUGACGCACUAUACUAACUAGUUCCAUUUGCUCAGAUUAAUGAUUUCACUUAAACCAUGUAUAGAGAAAAGCUGAUUCGAGCCUAAUAUCUGCUUUUGCAGCAAACAGAUGGAAAGUCAUAUCAUACCAUCCGUAAACCACAUAUCUCCUAAUUUGGUGGAACUUAAAGGGAUCCCAGAGUUUUCCAAUUUGGUUGUAGGGCACAACGGUUGUGGUGAAUUCAGUUUAUGGUAGGUCCAUGGACAGUUAGAAGUUUCUCAUAAAGAACAAUUAUCGUUAUCAUUUCAUUUUUGUUAUAGUACUGGUCUCAUUUCUUUAGUAAGCCUGGCUUGCGUUCUCUUCUAGUUAAACUGAAGAUGAACUAAUCUAGUGUGUCAAAGGUUUGCUGUAGGUGUUUUUGCGUAUAUGUUGUGAACUGUGAAGGAAAAUUUGUUUUUAAACAUAAGUCUUGUUCAGUGAUGUUGACACUUAGCCACGUGGGAGUUUAUGCUGUCUUCGGAUAGAAUUGAAAAUUCAAACUGAAAGUUAAGCCUACAAAACUUAGUUAUGGUCAUGAUCAGUGCCUUAUUGGCAUUACAAACUGUAUUAUCUACAGUGAAAAGUAUAUAGGAAAUCAGUUAGGAACAAAAUUUUGUUGAUUUCGUGUUAUCAUUUUGUUAAAACUAUCUCAGUCAUCAAAUACAACCAUUUCUCUGUACUGGUAAUCAAACAGGCCUAAGAUAGGGAUUUGAAUAGGUUGACUACUUUAUAUGAUGGUUAAGUCAAAUUGAUAUUGCGGUUGUUUUGGAUGUUUGCUAGAUCUAAAAGGUACCUUCAUUUGUUUUAGGGAUAUCCGAAAACGUGCUCUGAUGUCUCGUUUCUAUAUGCCGAGUGCCUCAGUUAAUAAAUUCUUUCCAAUUAGUUUGUUUAGUUGGAAAAGAAUGGAAAACCUUGCCAGGAAGUGUAAUUCAAGUGACUAUGUUAAAGAGCUGUUGUGUGCAACGAGUAUAAGCUCAAGGAACACCGAGGAACAUUCGUCAUUUCAACCGAACGACACUGCGAUAUGGCUUUUUGCCUCAACCAUGUCAGAUUAUCAUGUUUCAGAUGAAUAUCUAUCGAUGGAUGGUCAGAUUAAUCAUGCAGAAUUUUGGAAACUAAUGUUACUUGCUAACAGUACGGUGACAUUUGGUGCGGAGCUGGAUUUAAGGUAGUGUGCUAUAAUAAGUUCAAACUUACAAUAACAUUUUAGAUUUACAAUUCCAGAAGAUAAUUAAUUUGUUCUGCAGUUUCUAAACGCUUCUUUAACUUUCUAAGUAAGACUAAAAGUAGAUACUUGGAUACUAAUUAGUUAGUAGUUUGUUAAGAGAAUGCAACUUAAUUGUAAUAUGUAACAAAAGAGAAUGCAGCUUUUUCAUUUCAGCCUAACUGAGAAUUCAUCAUAUUCAUUAAUUUUGUUUCUAGCACGGUUAUAUGUUUUAGUGUUUAUCUUUUUCACUUUAUAGAGCUUCUGCCAUUGGAGCAUCAGCUGGCCGAGGUAUCAUUGGGACGCAGGAUGGCCUAGUUUACGUCUGGGAAUUGUCUACAGGAAAUAAACUGGCCACUCUUCUUCGUUUCGAAGGUACUCACAUUAUAGCAUUGGUGACCGAAGCUUUCCUUAGUGUGCACUAUUCUUUGUGAAAAGAGUUCAUCUCUCCAAGUAAUAUACUGAAAAUAUUUCCAUAAUUCUCACAACUCAUCGAGAGAAGAAACAAAAAAACAAAGAGUCAACACUCAUCAUACUUCUCUUGACAGUUGUGAAGUUUAAACACGAUAACAAAUCAAAGACAAGCUUUAAGAGUUAGGAGGUGGAAUAUGAAAUCUGUUUAUCAUCAUAAUAGUGCCAUUUCCCAUUGUAUCUUUCAAAAGAAGUUUCGUUUCCAGUGCUACUACUAUUAUUAUUUCUCAUAUAUAUUUUUGUUCAAUACAGGUGCAAAUGUUGUUUGUAUUGCAACUGACAAUAAAGAGACAGGUGUAGUGGCUGUAGCGGCUGAAAAUAGGCUUCUGGUAUAUCUACUUUCAUCAGAUACGAAAAGGUAAACCAUAAAUGGCCUACCACUCAAGAAAAUUACUUGUAAAUUGCAAAACAUUAUCAUAAAAAAAAAUGUCUUAGUUUUGAGUUGGUACCUGUCAUGAUGUUGAUAUAUGACAAAUGUUGGAUUUGUUGUGACAUAGCUACGUGUGAGCCGACGAUAAGUGUACAUAAUCAUUCAUGUAUGAAAUAAAGAAAACAAAAUUAGUGUAACUUCUGUAUCGACAAAUUAACCUUUCUAGAUGGGGCAUAAUCGAUAUGAAUCUUUAGUCAAUUCAUGCUGAUUGAAUUCACUAAUUGUUAAUAAAUCUUGUUUCUAAUUUUCUAACUUUUAAAGUUUAAAUUCAUCCUAAAUUUGAAUCUCACAGGUUGUCUAAUUUCUAUUGGGUAGGGCCAGAAAUUAGAAUACUAAUGUUGAUCAAAAUAAGGCUAGCAAUUUACAAUUGUUACAAGUAAUUUUUGAGCAAAUAUUAUAAGUAAUUUCUGUUAAAAAAGUAAACAACAUAAAAUAAGAAAAGAAAUAACAAGGUAUAGAUAGCACCUUAGGCUUAUGAGCCUAGGAAAGAGUUUGUGUUAGGCUAUAUGAACGUGUUUAUUAUCAACCAAUAUAACUAAUGGGAUGUCUUGUGCAUGUUUGUGGUCCAAAGCAUCACCUUUGGGACCAAAAUGGUUCCAAAAAAGGAUGCUUGGCGACCGACCCUAGCCAAAUGCAAAACAAGCAUGCCUCUCGACUCGAUAGGUUGUGUGAUUAUCCUAAAGUGACUUUGAAACUAGACAAAACAAUCUAAGUCAAUCAUCCCUAUUAAUGGAUUAGCGUGGUUUCAUAGAAGGUAACUUGAGUUUUGAAUCAUACUCUUAAACUUUUACAUUCUUUCACUUUCUUACUUAUACAUUGAGGAUGAAGUGUCCGUAUUAUUAUUAAUUUUUUUUCUGUCGAUCAUAUUCUUCUAUCCUAUAAACAAAUUUAUUAUGGUGUCAUUGCAUAAACAAAUUUAUUAUUACUUUUUUGGUGGGUAAUAAAUUCAUUAUUAUAUUUGGUGUGUAAUAUGAAUUUGUCCAAUGUUUAAAAGAAUAAGAGUUGCAAAAGCAUUUGUAGCAUUUUCCAGUAGAAUUAGCAUACUGUCAAGUAACAGAGACUCCAAUACUUAGCACUAAACAGUUGCUUACCCUUAAAAAAAAGGGAAAAUAUAGAGAUGACAGUGUACUUAGGUUGAGGGUAGCCCAGUUACCCCUUCCGUGAAAAAGGAUAUAAAUCAACUACGAAAAUCGAGACUUAACUUUCUUCUUUUGGCCAACACACGCACUCCUAGGCUUUCUUCGGCUUAUUAUACACUCUCAACUUCUCACAUCCUCAACUCCUCAACUCCUCAACUUCUCAACUCCUCUACCCUCUAAAUAGAAUCAAAGUUGAAAAAGAAACGAACAUACUGAAAAAAUAAAAUAAUAUGAAAUAUUUAUUUAGUUUGACAUAAGUUUAGUAAAAGAAAUGAAUGGAUAAAAAAAAGGGGUAGUGAGUGGAGAAAAUUGAUUGGGUUUGGUGCAAUAAUCACAAUAAUAAAAAAAACAUUAAAUAGGGAAAAACGCUUUGAGAUGAGCCGAGUGGGCUUUUCGGAUCGGGUUGGUAGUUGCCAGUUGGGCGCUGGUUGGUCCAACUCCUCCAAAUUAUCAAUCUUUUUAUUUAUUGCGUUUGCCUAUUUGGACCAAUCAUUGUCGGCCACGUCUCUCCUCCAUCCUACUUAUAUUUAAUAUCCUCAAACCAAACCAAAGCAACGAACAAACUCUCUUCCUUUCUCUUUUUUCCCAUUGUCUUGCUGUACGACACGUCGUUCAAACACGUGUCCUCUUUUGUCGACAGUUUUAAAUACUCUUUCAGAAUUUACAAAUGCAAAUUAAUUUUAUUACUGUCUUUUCUUCUCUAUAACCUAAAUUAUUGCAACACCCAUCCUUAUGAAAUUCAAUAUCUAAAUAUGUAGAUUUCAAUUUAAUGACUAUAUUUUUAUUUCUUGAUCUACUCAUCGUAGUUUUCAUAGGUUCAAUUUAUUGUUUAACUUUUUAUUUUUAUUUUUAUUAUUAUUAUUAUUACCAUCACCAUCAUUAUUAUUAUUAUUUUUUUAUAAAUUUAGAAAACAUGAAAAUUAUUGUUAUUAUUGAAUAAAUUUCAAUAAAAUUUAAUUUUAAGAAACAUAUUAAAGGUUUUCAUAAAAGCAAAUAAGAGACUAGAAGGUGAUUGUAAAUGGGAAUGAAGUUUAUUAUAAGUGUUGUUUUUUUCUUAAACAAAUUUAUCUAACUCUUAAUUCUUAUUUUCUUAAAUAUCCCAAUUUUUCCAUUUUAAGUUAGAAGUUUGUUUGGUUUGACUAUUUUUAAAAUACAUUUCAUAAAUUAUUUUAAGUGUUUAUUAACACUCUAAUUUUUUUUAUAAACUUUGAAUAUUAGAAAAUAACUUAUUUAAUUCAAUGACUUCUAUAUAUAAAAAAAAAAUUGUUGUUUUCAUCUAACAAUUUAUGAUUUAUGUGAGAAUUUGUGAUUUAUUUGAUUUUUCCUCUUGUCUUUUGUUGCACAUUUAAUGUUUGGCUGUUGUUUUGGUUGUAUAUAUCUUCAAUAAUGUGAUGAUAUAUACACACACCCACAAAAGUCAACUGCUUCCAAAUUCAAAGCUAUCUUCAAAAAGUUUUUGCUUAUGAUUAAGAUAUAUUUUUAGCUCUUUCCAACAAUUUUUUUUUUCUAUUUCAUAUUUUUUAUAAUGAAUGAGAGUAUUACUAAUUUUGGUUUAAAAAACUUCUGUUUGAUUUAAGAUAACCUCUUUUCAAAUUCAACAAUUUUAUGGUGAGAUUUUGAGCUUUUGAUAGUACUCUCAUAUGUUCUCCAUUGUUUUGUUACAAUAAGCUUCACAUUCAUUUUAGUUUUGAGUAUUCAUUGUAUUUAUGAGUGCUAAGUUUAGAUGAAUUGAUGUGGAGUUUUUUUGUUCGAUAAGUUUAUUGGUUGGUUUUGAAUGUUGCUCAAGUGGAAGUUUGUAUGCUUUUAUCACUUUGGUCUUUCAUUAGUUUAAUUUUGAUUGAUCACUUUAAUUAUUGAGUUGAUAUAUUUAAUCUAAUUAAUAUUUGUAUUUAUUAAGUGCUUUGGGGGUUUUCAAUACACAAGCCAUUAGAUUUUGGUAAUGAGGGAGCACAAGCCAUCACAUGAAAGUCGUAGUCAACUAGGUACGUUCUCAUGAUGUUAGGAGUACUGAAAGUUUCCUCAAAUAGAAUAGAAAUGUGUUGACUAACAAAAGUUGUCGAGAUGCUAUUAGAAGCGUUGAAAGUCUCUCCUCAAGUAGUAGCGUUUGGAAUGCUAGAAGGUCUCCUCAGGUGGAAGAGAUUUGCUGACUAACUAGUAGAAACAUUGUCAACAUAUAUGUUUACUAUCGACACCAUAAAUAUAUCAUUUGACAAGUACGAUUUUAUGAUAUUAUAUACAAGGUGUCAAGAGAUAUCUUACAUGUCGACACUACUUGUUAUAGCGUUUGACAAAUAUUCUCUUGACGUUAUCCAUACACUGAGGUUGAAAACACACAUUUUUCUUCAUCAAAAAAGCUUUUUCGACAUUUACUUGGGAUUUUUGGACAAAGAAAAAUACUAUUAUUAUUUUAGUGUGAACACCAUAUUACAUUAAUUAGAAAAAAUAGAUGUUUUCAAAUUCAAAGAAAGCUCACAGUGUCCAUAUUACUUAAAUGCAAAACUUUCAAAUGUUAGUUAUAAUCUAUCUUGGAAUUUUUUAGCACAUUAGUUAAAUCAACUAUACUAUUGAAAUUAUGGGCAAAAUAUACUAUACGAUUGAUUUAUAUGAUAUUCAAAUCCUAAAAUCUAUAUCGAAUAAAACAAACAUCUUCGUUUGGUAGGACGGAUUAAAGGGGUAUUUGAGUCCCAACUUAAAGCUGCCAAAGACUAGAUUAUUAUACCCUAAUCCCAUAAACUUCAACUAAAAUGUUGGUGUUUUAACAUUUUCUAUUUUUUCUACUAAUUUUCUCUCUUUCAUCUUUUUUUCAUAUCCAAACAAAAAUAUAGUUUGAAUCCUAAAAACAAACCAUUAUAAUUUACCUAAACUAUGAUAACUCAUAAACCAUAAUAACCCAUUUAAUUAAGGUUUAAAUACUACUUGAAACUUUACUCUAUACUCCACAUUUUCAUCCGUUAUGAAAGUAAUUGCAACACUUCUCGUCAUUAUUCUUCUUUCGUUUUUAGUUUGUUGUUAAUAUAUAACUAUGCAUAUAUAUAUAUAUAUAUAUCUAUUUAUAAUCAAUAACAGGAAUAACUAUACAUACAUACACAACUUUCUCAUAUGUUAUAAGACAGUUUAUAUUCAUAUUAGGAGAAUUAGGUUUGCCAAAACCCUAAAUGCUUUCGUGCCGUGGAAUUGCGUAUAGUUGAAGAAUGGAAACAACAAAUAUGCAAACAAAAAUCUUAACUUCCAUAAUAUUUCGUGUUCUCUUUAAAAGCAAAUAAUGUUUUUCUUCUGCCCCAAAUAUUAUGAUUCAAACUAUGGUCACCAAUUAUUUCCUAAAUAAUGAAAAAUUUUAAAGACAUAAAUCAUUCGGUGUUCCUUGCAAUAAUUUCUCUCAUAAAUUAGAAAAUAUUAUACAUAUUUAUAAAGUUUUGACCCACACAUAUAUAUAGGUCAAACAAUGGUGUACAAUGUGGUUUUAAGACACCUUAUGUGUGCUUGUGGAUACAUUCAUGUCACAUGGCUCUUAUUUAAUUCCUAUACUUGUCGGUUUAUACAUAUACUAUUAAUAAAUCAUAUUUGAUCAUAUCAACGCAUGAACAUGUUCCAACCGAUAAAGUAUGUGAUUUCUCGACUAAAUUUAUAAGCAUUUGGAAAUGGGUGAAGAUUCAAAAAUUGAUUAAUAUAUUAACUUACUAUAAUUGAUGUUUUAAUUAUAUGCCCACUUUACUAUGUUCAAAUUUAGUAAUAAUUAAGAUUUUCUAUAAGAUAACUAAAUAUAUGAAAAUAGUUUUUUUAGUUACAUUUUAACUAUAUGCCUUAACUAUGGGUAUGGGAGAUGGAUUGAGAAAAUUGAAGGUUAAGGGCAUAUUUAUUAACAAGUUGAAUGAAUAUUGGUUAUUGGUUAGUAGUCAAAGUAUUUUCAAUUGACUAUUGCAAAAUUUAUUAUGAAAAGGACAAAUAACAAACAUUUGUUUAAUAUCCCAUUUUUUUGCAUUACAAUCUUAUAAAAUAAAAUUAAUAGCCAAAGUAUUAUUUCAAUCAAAAUUUAAAAUAAUCCAUACUAUUGAGUAAUUAUAUAAUAAUCAAUAUUUUCUGCCUAUUUACUUGAAAACAUUGUGAAUGCUUUAAUUCAUCAAGUACAAUAACAUUUCUCUUUAUUAAUUAGAAGAGAUCGUAAUAAUUCUUAUAUAUGUUAACAAAUUUAAUUUUUUAAACCAAACAUAUUUAUAUAUUUGCGUGAAUGUUUUCCAAUAUAAUACAGUAAGUCAACUAAUUAGUAUAAAUAUUGUUUUUAAGUAAGUGAUUCAGACCUCUAACAUCUAACGGUCGAACCUAAAAUAGACAAACUUUAGUAUAUUUGAACAUCAAUGUAUGUGUCACUCAUUCUUGAUGUAUAAGCCAAAUAUAAUAGCCAAUUUAGCAUAGUCUUAUGGGUAAGACAACUAAUAUUAUUCUAAAAGUAGAUAAUCUAAUCUUCCAACUUUCCAAUGGUUUUUUUUUUAGGAAGUGAACUCUUUAAGGGUUGAUUAAUAUAUAUAUAUUAGCAAACCAUGAAGUGCUAUAGUUAAGUCAAGGCCAUAGACCAUUUCUGUUUUAUUAUCAUGUUUGUUUUGUAAUUAAUUGAAUACAUGAUUGAUUGUGAAGAUUCAAACAUAUUAUCUAUACGAAAGAGUGAAGAGUGAAGAGUUCGUUCUUUUUUCCUCCAUUUUUUUUAUAGUAUUAAUGAAGUAACGAAUUAAGAAAACACAGUAGUGCAAAUGAAGGUGAUUUAAGUAUUGUAAAUAUAACUCAAAAGAUUGAGAUAUAAUUUAGUAAGAAUAAAAUUUAAUUAUUAUUUUAGGAAGAUUGUAUAACUAAAAAAGUGCUUAGUUAUUGUAAUUAUUUUUUAUGUAAUUAAUAAUGGAAGGAAAAGGCAACAAAAAAGGUGGAGGAGGACACUACAUGAAUUACGAAAACGCCGCAAUAAAUUAAUUAGUAGAUGAAAGACUUUCAAUAGUGCAACAAAGUAGUUUAAAAGGAAAAAAAAAGAAGGUAAAAUCAUGAAUAUUAUUGAAAAAAAUUUGUGAAUGGAAAUAUCCUCUAAAAUGUUGAUAUUGUUGGAUACUUUCACAAAAAAAUUAUGAAAAUAACAAAUUAAUAAUAAUAAUAAAAAAAGGAACGUUUAUACUUCCUUUAAUAACUUUGUAUUUAUUUUAAUUAUUAAUCUUAAUCCAAAAGUAUUGAUAUUUAUGGUUGAUUUUGUUUGCUAUAUUUGGACAAUUUUAUAAUAUUAUGAACAGUAAAAAAAACUAAUUUGAAAUGGUUUAAAGAUUGAUGAAGAAAAAAUGGUUGAAGUCUCAAUAGUAGUGAAAAUGUGUAUGGAUAGCAUGAGUAAUGAAUAUUAAUUAAAUAAUUGAAAAUUUAAUUUACUUCAUGAAAAGAGUAAGGAUAUUAAAUUGUGGAUGAAAAUUGAAGAGGAUGACUAAAACACAAAGAUAUUAAUUUGAUGAAACUUUAGAUGAAAAUUAUAGGAAGUAGAAAGUUGUGUAUGGAAAUUGAAUAGGAUGGAAAUGAUAUAAGAUAUGAGAUUAAAGAGAUGGGAGGUAGUGGUAUGAGAUGAUUUGAAUUAAAAUAUAAAGAUAUUAUGAAAAAUGAAAAAGGGAUUGAAUUAAUAGAAAAGUUAAGUGGGCGUUGAGUGACGUGAAGUGGUUCAUUUAAUCGCCUCAUCUGCCUCCUUCAUUGCCCUGCCUGCCUCCCUUCUCUUUAUAUCUCUUCAUUUCCUUCCCAUUCAUUCUUACAUCUCUCUCAUUAACCUUUCUCUUUUUUUUUUCUUCUUCUUCUUCUAAUUAAUUCUCUCAAUAUGCCUCCAAUCUUGCCGGAUUUCUCUACCUCCGUUAAGCUCAAGUAUGUCAAACUUGGCUACCAGUAUCUCGUCAACCACAUUUUAACUCUCACUCUCAUCCCUGUCAUGCUCGCCAUUUUCAUCCAGGUUCUUCGUAUGGGUCCUGAUGAAAUUCUCAAUCUCUGGAAAUCUCUCCAUUUUGAUCUCAUCCAAAUCCUCUGUUCUUCUUUUUUCAUCAUCUUCGUUGCCACUGUCUACUUCAUGUCCAAACCCAGAACCAUUUUCCUCGUUGAUUACGCCUGCUUCAAACCCCCGGUUACUUGCAGAGUUCCCUUCUCUACUUUCAUGGAACACUCUCGUUUGAUUCUUAAAGAUAACCCCAAGAGCGUUGAGUUUCAGAUGAGGAUUCUUGAGCGUUCUGGUCUUGGAGAGGAGACUUGUUUGCCUCCUGCUAUUCAUUACAUCCCUCCUAAACCAACUAUGGAAGCUGCUAGGGGUGAAGCAGAGCUUGUCAUUUUCUCUGCUAUGGAUGCUUUGUUUCAGAAAACAGGGCUGAAGCCUAAAGAUAUAGAUAUUUUGAUCGUGAAUUGCAGUUUGUUUUCGCCUACUCCGUCUCUCUCGGCUAUGGUGAUUAAUAAAUACAAGCUUCGUAGUAAUAUCAAGAGCUUUAAUUUGUCGGGGAUGGGUUGCAGUGCAGGGCUGAUCUCCAUUGAUUUAGCUCGUGAUUUGCUUCAAGUACAUCCUAACUCAAACGCUGUGGUGGUUAGUACUGAAAUUAUUACACCUAAUUAUUACCAAGGAAACGAGAGAGCCAUGCUUCUCCCUAACUGCCUUUUCCGUAUGGGCGGUGCCGCGAUUCUUCUCUCGAACCGCCGGUCUGAGCGUCGUCGAGCCAAAUACAGAUUGGUUCACGUCGUACGAACUCACAAAGGAGCCGACGACAAAGCGUACCGUUGCGUAUUCGAGGAACAAGACAAAGAGGGUAAAGUCGGGAUUUCGCUUUCUAAAGAUCUCAUGGCUAUAGCCGGAGAAGCUUUGAAAUCCAACAUUACAACCAUCGGACCACUCGUUCUUCCAGCAUCGGAGCAGCUGCUUUUCCUUUUAACUCUAAUCGGCCGGAAAAUCUUCAACCCCAAAUGGAAGCCGUACAUCCCGGAUUUCAAACAAGCGUUUGAGCAUUUCUGUAUCCACGCCGGUGGACGGGCGGUGAUCGAUGAACUUCAGAAGAACCUACAACUGUCGACGGAGCACGUGGAAGCUUCAAGAAUGACACUUCACCGGUGGGGAAAUACAUCGUCGUCUUCACUUUGGUACGAAUUAGGUUACAUUGAAGCUAAAGGAAGAAUGAAGAAAGGAGAUCGGAUUUGGCAAAUUGCAUUCGGGAGUGGGUUUAAAUGCAACAGUGCUGUUUGGAAAUGCAACAAAACAAUCAAAACUCCGAUCGAUGGACCAUGGGCUGACUGCAUCGACAGGUAUCCGGUUCACAUUCCUGAAGUAGUCAAACUCUAAGAAAAUUCCACAAAUUUAAAAACAAAAAUUUGAAAUAAUUAACACCCAAAAAAAAAAAAUCAAUAAAAACAGAAGAAAAAUAUGGAGUUUGGGGUUUUAGCAUAAUCAUCUGCCAAAAUUUGCUUCCUUUGUGAUGUAUUUAUCUAUAUGGAAACUCUCUCAUUUGUCUACGGGCUGUGACACCAUAUAUUUCCACUUGUUUUUUUUCUUCUUCUUCUUAAUCCUAAAUGGAUUUGCAUAGAUGGAAUUAAUAUUGUGUUUGUAUUCAUCAAUUUAAGGUAUGAUCCCAUUUGUAGUUUAGAAGGAAAAAAAAGGGUAUAAAACUUGUUGGUUCUUGGUUUAUUUUAUCUUCAUCAUUUGAAUUUUGAAUUUUUUCUUUCUUUUUGUUAAAUUUGGAAACUCAUGUUCUUAUGUUUGGUCUCCACGAAUAUUGGGGAGUAAUCCUUAAAUACAUCACUUAUUAUUUUGCCGUCCACUCCAACCACAUAACAACUAAAAUAGAAAACAAAAUUAAGAAAUUGAAGAAUUUUCAACCAACUAUGAUUAGACAAUUGAGGUUAAAUACACAAAAAUACUUUUUUCAAAAAAUAAAUAAUCUUAGACAUUAAAGGAAUGUGUGUUUUCUAAACUAUUUUUCUUGAAUCUGUUCGUGCAGUAAUAGUAACCAUCGAAUAUAAAUAGUAGAUUAAAAAGUUUUUGGUACAACAAUCUUAUUCAAAUUUAAUCACCUUAAAUUGGUGUAUUGAAGGUUGUAUAUAUAAGUAGGUUUUUAAAAAGUAUUUUUCUUUUAGUAAGUAAAUGAUAGACACCUAUUUUAUUUAAUGAUAAGUUGAAUAUCAUGAAUAAUAAUGUAGUCAAACUGUAAAUACGAACAGUGAUAGCCUUUUCAAGAAUAAUUCUAUCUAAUAUUUCUACCAAACAAAUGUAAAUAAUUAUAUCCAACAACCAAAGAUUUACAAUUUAUAAUAUUUUAGAAAAUAAAGCAGCUAUCAGGUUGGAGGGUUUGUGUAAGCAUGCAUGCAAAAACAAAAGAAACCUUUUAAUUAAUCUAAUCAAUUGAAUAAUCACCUAUUAUUUUUUUUUAUUUAAACAAAAAUAUUUGCAAAAUUUUAUUCAUUUAAUCACUAGAAUCUAUUUUUUAAAAUAUUUUUUUAUUUACAAUUAUUAUUUUAAUUAUAAUUUAAUUUCGUACGUGACAAUUUCUUUCAAUUGUUUUUAAUAAAAUUAGGUUGGAAGAUGAGGUACUAAGUAUUAUUGUUGAAAGUAAAUGUCUCUCAAAUUAUAUAAAUGUGUAAGAUUUGAAUGUUUGACCUAAGAAAAAGUAAAUGUAUAUAAUUUUUGUUAUAUAGAUAUAUUCAUGUGGAGAGAUUGAGAAAUAAUUUUUAUAGUUCGAAAAAUAAACUAAAUCCCACCCACCUUAUCAAAUUCGUAAUUAAUUAAUCAACAAAUAACAAACAUCAUAUUCCAAACAAUAAAUUUGAAGUUAAAAGAGAAAAGAAACAAUAAUUUUGAAUAUUCACUCCUUAAAUUAAAUUCACACUUCCACAUCAUUUUGAAUGUGUGUAAAACUAAUAAAUGUAAUAUAAUAUUCAAACCAUGCAUUUAAAGUCAUAAUAAUUGUGUCCAGUAAUAAAAUUACACUACAAAUCAUUUGACAUCCCAACUACAAGUUGAAUCGAUUUUGGUUUUACCAGUUUUUAUAAAAGUCAUAAGUUGAUAUGACAGCUUCUUAAUACCUUUAUCAUCCUUAACAUUUGAUUAAAAAUGACAUAAAAAUAAAAUAGAUUUAGAAAAGACUCAUGAUAGCUAGAUUUUUAAAUUCAACAAUCAAUUUCCAACCUUUGACCAAGGUUGGAUCGAUUUCAAAAGUUUUAUUAUAUUUUUGUGUCCAACUUUCUAUUACCAUAUUCUUAUAUUUUUAAUAUACAGUAAAUAACGUGAAUGAUGUACACACAACAUUUAAGUACACAUUAUCAAACAUUGAGUUUAAAGUUUAUAGAUGUAUCAAAAACUAUGAAAAUGAAAACUAAAGGAAAAUUAAUAGUCAAGGUAAAACUUCAACUUAUUUCCAUCUUCUUCAACUUUUCAUAUUAUAAUCAUAAUCUCUACUUUUCACAUUUAUCAUCUAAUUUCAUAUUUUUUUCUUUUAUUGGAGAAAACCAUCUAGUUAUUCUACACUAUAGAAACUAUUAGGAUGUUUUAAAUUCGUUACGGUAACACUACGAUUUUGACUAUAAAUUUAGAGAAUGACAAUAUAUAAUCACUUAUUUAAUGACAUUGUUUUGUAAUAUAAAACAUUCUCUCUAAUCGGUUAACAAAUAUAUUGGAAACUUAGUGCAUGUUGAGUUAUUAACAUUUAUUUAGUUACUCAAACGGCCAGCCACUAUCUAAUAAAUUAAAAAGAAGAUAGCUAAGGAACAAUAAAUAAGGAAGGGACACUUUUUGUUAGUGCGCAGUUUUGAUAAGCAUCUAUAUAUCUAAGAUUGCCAAUCUCAAACGUUUCGACACACAAUUAAAAACUAGAGCUUUCUAUCUCAAUCAAUGGGGCAAGUUGGCAGCAAAAUUUAGAUAUAUACAUCUAUAAAAAAAACAGAUUAAUAGGUAUUUAAUGUAUAACGGCCAACUACAAAAAAAUAUAAAAGAGAAAGAAAAUUCAAAUCACAAUUCAGCAGGACUUUUUAUUUGUAAUAUAUAUGUGUUUUUCUUUAAUAUACCCAACUAGAUUUUAGGGCAAAUUAAGGAAUCAUUUAUUUUUCAAGUAACGCCCAAUGUGAUUGUAAAGUGACAACUCCAUAUUCAAUCAUACAUGAUGUUUUUAAUUAGACUCUUAUUAUAUAGUUUUUUAUAAUUUCUUUCUUUUUUUUAAUAAAAAUUAUAUGUAAUAAUUUAUAUAUAGGCUGUUCUCUCAAACACUCAUGUGAUGUAGGGUUGUCUUCUCUAAACAUAUAAAUAAAAAUGGCUGUGAUUAAUUUUUAUAUGCUUAAGAAGAUUAAUUGAUUAAAGAAGAAAAAAAGAGGAUAUGGAUCUUGUAGGACAAAAUUAAUUGAAUAAGCUUAAUUACCUCAAACAAUGACCAUUAUCAUCAUUUGUAUAGAUGUUAAGGAGUGUAAUAUAACAUAAAACCAAUCAACAUGAAUAUUUGAAUAAUAUAAUAGAAAAACACAAAUAAUAGAAGUGAAAAUACUCUUGGUUUUGUUACCAACUAUUAAAUGUUGAACAUCAAUAUCUUAAUAUAGUUAUCAAUUAUCACGAAAUAAUUGUCCAAAUAAAUCUUAUAUAUACAUACUUUUUUUAUAUUAAAAAUUUUAUUUAAUACUUUGAUUAAUACGAAGAUAUUUAAAUUAUGUUUUAACGAUAACAUGUGAAAUUACAAAAUCAAAUCUAUAACUUUGAACUCGAUAAUAUAAAUAUCAUGUCAGUUGAAUUAUGCUUAUUUUAGAUGCAUUAUCAAUAUUAAAAGAAGUAGGGGAUCAUGCUUAUGAAGUUGGACCAUAUACGAGAUGUGGUGAGGUGUUGUUUUAAUUGCUAGGCUGGUAUCCUUGGUCCACGUACAACUACAAGAUCUUCAAAACUUAUAAACUCCAAAUUUCUUGUACAUCUCCCACCUUUCAUUGCUCAUAAAUGACUUUAAUUUUCUUUUCCUAUGAACAAACCCUAGACUCACUCUAUAAAUAUAUAAAAUUUUCUUUCUUUCAUUAUUAAAAUUUCUAUGUUUGUAAAUAAAUUUACUGUUUCUUACUUUAAAUUCACUAUAUUGAUUUUUAUUUUUAUUUUUUUGAAAAAAAUUCAAAAUACUUCUCUUCAAAAUGUAAUACCCCAUAAAUAAAUAGUUUUCUAAGAAAAAAAUAGAAGAUAUUCAAUAUGUCUGUUAUCUAAUAGUCCAUAAAUAGUUUCUUCAUUUAUUUGAUUGGUAUAGGUUGGAUUAGUUUAUUUUAAUUUACUAUAAAUCAAUCCAAAACUCAAGGUAAGACGUGCUUUAGUUCAACAAUAUGUAUGACACUGCUAAAAUUAUAAUCUCUAUAGUUAAUUAAGGAUACACAUAAUAAUGUCAGUUAACUUUUAUAAUUAACUUAGAUUAUUGUUAGGGCUUCAUCCUAAGUCCUAACAUUUUGAAAUUUUACUCUCCAUUGUGAAAUAUGAGUAGAUGAUUAGUUCAUAAUAUGGUGGGUAUUUCUCUUGAAUUAUUAUUGCCUUUUCUAGUUACGCAUGUACAUCAGCAUAUCAAUAUUCUCUUUUGUCUUUUUGAUAUUAGACAAUCGACAAUUGCAAUUAUUUUUGUCCUAUGUCACGUUGUGAACAUAAAUUUCCUUUUGGACAAUUUUGUUUUUGUGUGUAGGGAUUAGUAUAUUUCCCUUCAUUAUUCUUCACUAAGUUCUUUCUUACUGCAUGGUUUUUGGUUAAUCUUUUUACUCUAAAUAUCAAUUUACUGUGGUUUAUUAACAAUAUUUUAAUUAUAUAUACACAAUGUUAUGUUGUGUGUGAUAACAAUAUUCCAAAUAUAUUUACAAUGAUAUGAUAUUCUUCAUUUUUGAUAUUAUAUUAUUUUGUGGUUUUGCUUUUGGUUUUACCCCACAAAAUACCUAAUACUCAAUAAGAUAGUUAUCUUUACUUAUAUAGUAAAUAAUCAUCUCCUUAUUCUAUCUAAUAUAGGACUUUGGCCGUAUUUGAUCAACAAGUAGUGCAUCGAUAAAAAAAUUUAUGAGAAAAUCGAAAAGUGAAUAUACGAGAUGAGAUUCAAACUUGACACUAAAACGGGUUGGAACAUGUAUUAACCACCAACCACCAAGUUACUACAAUUAUUUUUGUAUUAUAUGAUUUUUUCUAUAUAUAUAUUAUCUAAAGAGUAAAAAAUUAAAAGGGUUUGAAUCCCUGACUAACAAGUUAAAUUUGUAGGUGCCUAUAGAGGUGGAGAGAGAUGAAUUCAUUACUAUUAGAAACAAUAUGUAUAGGACACAACUAUUUAUUAUUACUAAGAGAUGAGUUGAUAUCAUUAAUUCAUUAUUGUUUGAAUCCGAUGGCACAAUCCUAUAUAUACAACAAAGUAAGUUGAACCACGAAAAGUAUAGGGCAGAACUAAUUGGGUAAAAGGACUCCAAAACUUUGGGCACAUACACAUAACCACCACGUUUACAUAUGUUUUCGGGUAUAAUAUAAUUGCAAAGAUUUAUAACAAAAACAUUAUGCAUUUAUUCAUAGCCAAACUGACAUGAGUCAUUUCUUGCACAUUAUAUCAUUUAUGAAGAGUAGGUAAUGUAAUUUUGUGUCACUUUUUUUUUUUUUGUUGUGUAAUUAUGACAUGUAUGUUAUAUAUAAUAUAUAUAUGUUCCCAACUACCAAAGUUAUGAGGCACACGUUGGAAUGGGAAAAGGCAUUACUACCGCAUGAACUUUUUGACCCCUAAAAAAAAAUGAUUCAUUUAUUUAUGGUCAUCAUGGUAAUUAUAUAGAAAAUGAUAUGUAUAUUUGAGAGGGUUGUCUAGGUAGAAAUUAGAAUUUUUUUAAUGGUUGAGUAAAUAAUGUAAGAAAUUGAAGUUGGUGUAAAAGAAUGACACGUCGGUGAUGUGUAAAUGAAGAAAAAAAGUGGUAUAUUGUAUUGGUAUUUAUUGAAUUGAAAUGGACAGGGCAGUAUAGAAUAUGCAUGGGUAUAAUGAGAAUCAGUCAAUGUACAAGAUGUAAAUUGUAUUAGUAUUUAUGUAGAAAAAUUGUAUCCGUAUAUUUAGAUGAUUCAUGUAGUUGUUUCAAUAUUCACACAUUUUCAGUAUAUCUUAUCGAAUUAAACAAACAUUUUUAAAAAAAGUUAAGAUGAGUAAAAGUAGGAUUAGAUGAUACGGAAAUAUAAUGUUAUGAAAAUAAUUUAUAAACCAACCGACUCUUUGAAUGUCAUUUAUUUCCUUUGCUAACGAAUUUGUUGACUCAAUUACCCAAAACAAAAAUUUGUGCAUAGUCUCAUUCCCAUUGUAAUGAAGAAUUGACUGGGGAUGAGGUCAAACCAUAGAUCUUUUUAGGGUUCCCAUUCCGUGAUUAGGGAGGGUCUCCGCUUCGAUUCUGAUUAGAUUUUUAAUAUGUAUUAUAUAUAAAUGACGGGUGAAUCCAAUCUUAAACGAAUAUUUUGGUCACUUGUACAUUCUCUACUGUUAUAUAUUCUUUAAUCUUUUAAAAUUGUUCAAUAAAAAAAGUGAAGCUGCAACUAAGAAUGGGAUGGGUGUGGUGAGGCAGUUAUGUUAAUUUUUUCUUAUGAUCAACCCAUUAUUUUGAUAGUCUACUACUUGUUUACUACGGGUUGUAGGUGGGGGUUAGGUGAAUGUACAACAUACAAAUUCAAACACAUUCAAUAUUAUUAUUUUAAUUUUCCUUCUCUUCUUCUUUUGCUUUAAAUUCUAUGCUAAAAGAGUCCCUCUCCUAUUCACACCCAUUUUUAAUAUCUACACACACUUAUUACUUUUUAUCCUACAACCUAAACAUAUGUGAAUAUUUCAACUUAUUCUAACCUUGAAAUUUGAUCUGAUCCCAAUAAUUGGAUUCCAUAAAAAAUCAUCACUUGAAUCAUUUAUAUAAUAUCUAUGAAGUAAUUUAUUCAGAUUAUUUAACUUAAUUCAAGCAAAUGCUAGGUGAUCUGAGAAAUGAAAAAUUGCAACAAUCAUUUUCCCACCAAACCCCAUGUCCUGCAAGGCAUCCUUCAUUUUUGUUGGUGUAAAUUGAUAGCUACUCCUUUUCCUUUGGUAAGGAAUAUUAUAUGAAAAUAGGGUAAUGAAAUGAGAAUAGGAAAAGAGGAAAAGAGGAAAAGAGGAAAAUAGGAAGAUGGUUGGUAAGGGUAGAAAGAGAAAUAUAGGAAAGUGAAUGGGCUUGAGCCCAAAAGUAAAAGAAUGGAAAUGGACUUGAGUUUUCAAUUCUCCACCAACCCCGAGGGGCUACAAAAACGGUGGGAUUGGCGCGCGCAUUACUUGCGAAUCUGAGUAAAAAACGCGUCCAUGUUCAAAGACGGAGCCACAAUUCUUCAUAUUUAUUUUUGACUUUGUCCUCCAUUUCCGUCUUCCUAUAUUUCUGCCCGUGAUUUGCUUAUCGAUUUUCAAAGCAACCAAGAACCAGCGAGACGGACGGAACGAGGAGAUGGGGAUUAAGAAGGCCACCACAUUGUUGGAUGAUUUUUUACACAACGCUGGAGGUUGUGCGGUAAUUGAUGGAGGUUUCGCCACACAGCUUGAGAAACACGGCGCUGUCAUUAACGAUCCACUUUGGAGUGCUGUUUGCCUCAUUAAUGAUCCUCACCUAAUCAAGAAGGUCAUCUCUUACAGUAUUUGUUGUUGUUCUUGUUCUUGUUGUUUCGGUGCAUCACGUUCUCAUUCUCAUUGUUGCUUGGAUUGUAUGUGCUAUCAGGUUCAUUUGGAGUACUUGGAGGCUGGAGCAGAUAUCUUGGUUUCUUCAUCUUACCAGGUUUGCAAUGCCAAUGGGCUCAGCUUUCUUUGUUUUUGUACUUUUCAAUCUGUGAUCGCUUUGGAGUGUCUUUUUUUAAAAUGUUCUACUCUUGUUUGUUUAAAACUUGAUGGUUCGAAUUGGAUUUUUUAAUGACGAUGAACAGAACGAGUGAGGAUCAAACUGAUCACUCCUCUUGAAUUGAAAUCAAUAAGUUCAUAAUGAACGCUUCUGCCGGUCGUGAAAUGAUGAACCAAAUUUGAUCCCCUGUUCAUCGAACAGGAUCAAAUUGGAUAAAUUUCAAUCAACUUAAAUGAAUUGGAUUGAAGUUCUUUCCAUGAAGUAACAUUUCUGGAAAUUCACGUUGUUAUAAUUAGUGGACCAAUGUACAGGAAGCAGACAGUAUUUAAUAUGUGGAAGGUUAAUGUUUGUGUGCUUAAUAAUAUCUAACCACAUCGGUUUAGCUCCAUUGUCAAAAUCCCUAUUCUAAUGUAUCAUUACCUAUGUAAGAUAUUAAAUAUCCUGUAAGUUUUCCAAUGUUAAACGUUGCAAAAUUAAGUGAUCAAUUCAACAGAUUGAUUGAAUGGCAUUUAAAAUGACAUUUUGUUUGUUAUGCUAAUGUAAAAGAUCUUCAUUUUUCCAUUUAAAAUGAAAUUCAGUUUUGUAUAACUCAGAAUUUGUAUAUAUCAAUAUUAUUGAAUUUAUAUACCCUUUUAGUUUCAUAACUUUAUUGUUCCGUAUUAGAAUUCUUUUUACAAGUUUGUGGCUUAUAGUUCCUUAAGAAUUCCAACAAGCUUUAGGAAUUGAAAUGUUUUCUGGCUUUAUUUCUCAUAAUUUUUUUUUAUAGAAAUAAUUGCUUCUUUUAGAAAUUAUAAACAGAAUACCAACAAAUCAGUAUUCAAGCCAGUUAACUAUUCUCUCUUGUUGAACAUUUUAUUCUAUUACAGGCCACAAUUCCUGGGUUUAUAUCAAAGGGGCUGUCCGUUGAAGAAGGGGAGUUGCUCUUAGAAAAGAGUGUUAAAUUGGCCAUUGAAGCUCGUGAUAGUUUCUGGGAUUCUGUGAAGUGUAUCCCAGGGCAUAAGUACAAUAGGGCUUUGGUUGCAGCAUCCAUUGGAAGCUAUGGUGCCUAUCUUGCUGAUGGUUCAGAGUACAGGUGAAUUUGAAAUAAUUAGUCACAAGGAGUUUGUAAAUAUUUGGUAUUGACAAUUUGAUCUAAACCUAUUUCUACCUCCCCUCCCCAGUGGGCAUUAUGGGCCAGAUGUAAAUGUAGAUAAGCUGAAGGAUUUUCAUAGACGCAGAUUGCAGAUUUUUGUUGAUGCUAGCCCAGAUUUGCUUGCUUUUGAGACUAUUCCCAAUAAGCUGGAAGCCCAGGUUUGCUCCAUGCCCAUCUUAUAUCAUCUAAAUUGUGGUUUAAUGAUAUACUCACUCUUACCGCUGCAGUGAUGAUACCGCUAUAAAUUAUGUUGUUAUGCUUUGGUCUGAGUCAUAAAGUAUUUCAGCAAACAGCUUACCAUAUAUUUUAUAAUCUGUUUUGAAUUUAUAAGUUGUUUAUUUCAAGGGAUCGAGGUAAUUUGAUGACCAUCUGGUGUGAAUGGGGGAACCAUGGAUCAUUAGGUUUUAGUUUAUGAAUUGCAUAAUUCAUUAUCAAAAUUCUUUUAUGUCAAUAUUAUGAUUUCUUUUCAAAAUAAUAAUAAUAUAUAUUUUUAGUUAAAUCCUGUUCAAGGCUCCGACUUUAAAAAUAAUCCCACUUUACACUUCCAGAUAUUCUAUUUUAAUUCCUAACCCAACCAGAAUUCCGAUUUAGUUACGAAAUGGAAGAAAAAGUAAUGUUGCUGAUUAUUGUCAUGAGCAUGCCAGGACAAUUGUUUCGAUUGUUUUUGCUUGGUUUUCUGUCCUCUUUAUGAUCAUGCUUCCAAUCAAUCUUAACCUCUCCCCCAUUCUGGUCUAAAAAAUGUAGGCCUGUGUGGAGUUGCUCGAAGAAGAAAACAUCCAAAUUCCAUCCUGGAUCUGCUUUAGCUCCGUAGAUGGUGAGAAUGCACCAUCUGGAGAGAGCUUCGAGAAGUGCCUCUAUGCGAUAAAUAAAAGUGACAAAGUAAAUGCGGUUGGCAUAAACUGUACACCUCCUCAUUUUAUUGAAGCUCUGAUUACAAAGUUCAAAGAGGUAGGAACUAAAUCCCUUACAGUUGAGAUUUGAAAUUGUUUCUUUCAUUCAGUGGUUUUGAAACGAAAUUGUUCACUACAGUUAACAAACAAGCACAUAGUUGUCUAUCCGAAUAGUGGCGAGGUAUGGGAUGGAAGAUUCAAGAAAUGGUUGGUGAGUCAACUUAUUCCUCCCUCCCCCACUCUGAUAUUUCAUGGUUUGUGGGCCUACAUUAUGAUAUUUCCAUUUCUAAUUUAGUGUUCUGGUUUUGGUAGCCAUCAAAUUGUUUUGGUGAUGACAAAUUCGAAUCAUUAAGUUCAAGAUGGCGCAAUUUGGGAGCAACAUUCAUUGGAGGCUGUUGUCGUACAACGCCAUCUACCAUCCGAGCUGUAUCAAAGGUUUUGAAAGAAAGCACUUUUUAGUGACAACUGAUAAAGUUGACUGUCUGUAUCUGGAUGGGAUUUGUUGAUUAAAGGGAAAGAUUAUACUAAAGCGAGGGGCAAGUUGGUCAGUACCUUCAAAAUACUUUCUUUGGAAUAACUUUUAACCUUUUGUUUUUUAAUUUUUUUUUACUAGAUUGAUGUAUUACGGUUUGUACUCCAGACGUACUUGUUGUAGAUUUUUACUGUGUCAAACUCCAGGCUAAUUAUAGAAAAAUAGGCUUUUUCUCUUCCUAUUUAUGAUAUUCAAAUAAAUUGAGGAAAAGAAAAUUAUUACAUUUUCAGAGCAGAUUUUAUAUUUUAUUUCAAGGAAUGAUAAAAAUCUUAAAGAGCCCAUUCAGGACAAGGUAAACUUUGGAUACUGGGGCAGAACUUGGAAGUUUAUGAGCAGGAAAAUAAGAAGUGUCAGAGUUCAAAUCCCUUACUGGAUUAGGAAAUCUAUAUAUAUCAGAUUUUUUCCCAAUAUUUCCAAUCUUAGUUGCUUAUAGAAUACUUGCAAUUGUGCAUAAAUAUAUAUAUAUAAAAUCUCGACUGAUUUGAUCAGCUGGAGCUGGGCUGAGAAAAUCUUCUUUUUUUCUGGGAAAAGAUAAAAAGUGGAGGAACAAUUGUUUAUCCUCAAUGUAGACUGAGAAGAAGAAGCCGAAAAGUAUGGGAUUAGACAGAAGGUAAUGGAUAAUGCAAUUUGAGAUGGGGGGCCCUAAACGAGAUCUCAACUUUUAGUUGAACCAAAAAUAAAAGUGUCCAUUUCACAGAGAGAAAGAUGUGUGAUGGGUUGGUUUCGGAGUUUUCCUCAUCCCCUCUUAAUUAGAGUACCCCACAAAUUUAGGCAGCCAAUCAGAGAAGAAGCCUUUGGAUGAACUUUGAUCUUUCAACCAAUGAAGAAGUGGAUAAGGCCCUUCUGUAUGACCCACACACUGCAAGUCCCUUUUUUUAGUAAAAAAGUGCCCAAAAGUGCAAUUCUUUUCCAGUUGACACCCUUCUCUGUUGUGAUUUGUGAAUUUAACUGUAAAAGCGCAGUCUGUGGGGCAUACCCUUGGCCCCUCGAUGGUGUCCUGUUAAAAUAUUUUCUCGUGAACUUUUUAUUAAAAAACUCCAACUAGUAGAAAAUAUCAGACUCGGUCUCUAUGCACAGUGUUCAAUUUGAAGGCUGAGAGUUGAGUUUUCAAUACAAACUCACAUUCUCACCUGAGUUUCUAGUCUACUGACUCUUGACGUUUCUGGUUAUUUGAAUUAAAUGACAACAAGGAAAAGUGUGGAGAGAACAGCAGAGGGAGGCAAGACUGCCAGAGCCUGUGAUAGCUGUAUCAGCAAGCGGGCUCGGUGGUACUGCGCUGCCGAUGAUGCUUUUCUGUGCCAAGCUUGUGAUGCUUCAGUCCACUCCGCCAACUCCUUGGCACGUAGACACGAGCGAGUUCGUCUUCAAACUGCCUCCUUCAGACCCUCUUCAGACAACUCCUCUGCUGCCUCAUGGCACCAGGGCUUCACCAAAAAGCCACGGUCGCCUCGAAUGGGAAAGACUGCUCCGACGAGGAAACCAUUUCCACAGGUACCGGAGGUUAGUGCUAAAGAAGAAUCUGAAGAACAAGAACAGCUUCUCCUUCACAGAGUUCCUGUAUUGGGAGCUGAUUCAAAGGAUGGCAAUUUGGCUAGUUUUGUUGGGGAAAAAGAAAGCUCAAAUGGUUAUCUCUCGUAUGAUAUGGAUCCUGCUGAAUUCGCAGCUGAUGUUGAGAGUUUAUUGGGAAACUCGCUUGAUAAUGAGUGCUUUGAUAUGGAAGAACUGGGGCUAGUAGCUUCCAAAGACCACUCAUUGACAAACGAUGAUUAUUCUUUAAACAGCCAUGAAAUUAUUAAGAUUGAACCAGAUGAGAUAGAGGUAUUAACUCCGAUGCUCGGCAUAGAAGCCGAUACGAUGAGGGAGCCAUUUGAGCUGAACUUUAUGGACUUUGGCAGCAAUCCGACAACGUGCAGUGAGGAAGAUGACAAGAUGAUGAUGGAAGUUAUGGCAGUAGUGAAGAACGGUGAACUUGAGAUGGAGGAGACAAAGAUUGUUAAAAACAAAAAGAAAGUAUCAUUGAGUUUGGAUAGUGAAGCAGUGAUUAUAGCUUGGGGAAGUAGAGGAACUCCAUGGACAUCCGGUGAUCGACCGAAUCUCGACCUCGAUUAUUACUGGCCGGACUACAUGGUUUGCUCCCUUCCCUCUAUGAUAUUUAUUAGCUUAUGUUAUUGUUUUAAGAAAGUUAUUUCUAUAAUAAAUGCUGUGUCUGAAAGUGAAGUAUGUUUGUAUGAAGGGUACGUAUGAGAGUGAUUGUUACUAUCAACCUUAUGGGGAGUUUGGCAGCGGAAUUGGGCGACAAGCGGUAACCGGAGUCGAAGGAGAGAGAGAAGCACGAGUGUCAAGGUACAGAGAGAAGAGAAGGACGAGAUUAUUCGCAAAGAAAAUAAGAUAUGAAGUUAGGAAAUUGAAUGCAGAGAAGAGACCGAGAAUGAAAGGGAGGUUUGUAAAGAGAUCGUCAUGCUUUGCGCCACCACCUUUGCCUUUAUUUAAUCAAUGAAUUAGUUAUUAACAUAUAGUAUAUAUAUUUUCAAUUUGUGCGUGUUUGUAAUUUAAUCGCCAAUUUUGAUUUUGUACCCACUAAUUUUAUACAAUAAAUGCCUUCCAUCCAAAGUUAACGUCAACCCACCAUAUAUUCAUCGGAAAAUUGGAGCUGAAUUCCCUUUCUCCUACAUCCUUUGCCUCUCUGGACAACAUUAAUUGAAAGCUUUAUAGUUUAAUGUUAUCCCAGAAUGAAACCUCAACUAACAUUUCUUUUCAAUAACGUGGGUGGAGAGAUAGGGUUCAUACUACCACACUUAAUGUCACUCAAGUGUUUAUUUCUGUAUCUGACAAAAUUAAGUUGGUGUGAACAACCCAUCAAAUAAUUUGACAUUAAUCAGUUGAUUGGUUUCUUCUUUUUGUUUCUCUCUUGCCAAAUUGCAAAAACUACCUCCGUGUUUUAGUUACUUUUAACUCACAAACAUUUGUACUAAUGGAACAAUAUAGAUCCUUUACAUUUUCAAAAUUUGGAGCUAGAAAAGUUAAGAGUGUUUGACAUUCGACCCCCAAGUUAGAUGAGAAUGUAUGGUCUUCCAAUAUAGAUGAUGAGUGUAUGUGGACCCAUGUAAUAAAGUUCUAAAGACUUGUACCUCUUUCCAAAUUAUGUCCCAAUAUCAAUUUUGAUCUUUCCUUUUCAAAGAAACAAAAAUUCCAAUUUUAUUUCAAUUUUUUCGAAACCUCGAACCUUCCUUUAUAUAUUUAUUUUUCAUUUCAAUUUAGAUGGAUAAGGUACUUCAUAUGAUUGGUUAAAUUUAACUUAUUGAAUAAUGAAUGAGAAAAAUAUCUACUCCUUGAAUCUAACUAGAUAGGGUUAAAUUUAAAUUUAAACUUUUUUGAAACUAUGAAUUUACCUUUUGUAAAUUGAAUUACCACUCUCCAACAAAUAAAAGCACAUCUUCACAUACAAAUAUCUUCUUAUUGUAAAAUUGGAUAUUUGAUUUUCUCAUAUAAAAUUGUUGUAAUAAGAAAAGUAUACACACCCAAAAAAUCAACACCAUUCUAUUCUAGGACUAGUUGGUUGUUCAUCCACAGAAUUCGUAUCCAAUAGUGUAUUUCCAUUUCUUUCAUAGUCAUGGACCAUAGUUGGUGACCACUACUUAUAUUAAUUUUUAGAAUAAUAAUUAAGUAUAUAACAACAUUUUAAAAAAAAAUUAUAAAUAUAGUAAAAUCUAUAAAUGAGUAUCACAAAUAUAGUGAAGUUUAUUAAUAAAAAAAGUUUAUCACAUAUAGACUUUACUUAUGCUAUAUAGCAAAUAUAGCAUAAGACUUAUAUUGUUGUAGAAUCUUAUGAUUUAUUUUAGUGAUAUAGUUUGAAAAUUUUUGUUACAUUUGCAAUUUUUUAAAAAUGUUGCUAUAUAUUUAAUUAGUAUUUCUAAAAUCGUUCUGGAGUUAGUUUUAAUUUUUUUUUUUAGAAAUGUCGAAGUAGGAGUAAGCAUCAACAUUAAAAAAAUCAAUCGAAACCAAGCAAACUGACACUCGAUUGUCGAUUUUUAUGAAAAACAGUCGACUGUCAGUUUAAGAAAUAACUUUUGAAAAACCAAUUCAACACGUUCAAAUUUAUAUUAUCCUCCGUCGCUUCCCUCCAUCCAUUGUUGGUUAGUCGUCCGUUGGCUUCCCUCCCUCUAAUCACUUUCCUCUGGCUUUGGCAAGGGUUAUUGUCCUUUGUGUCCUUUCCAAAAAAAAAAAGGCAAGAAAACCUAAAUUAGAAACCGACUUGCAGUUCAAUCGAUUGAUUCAAGCUUUUGUUCAAAACCGCCCAGCCAGACACCCUAUGCCAAAGAACAUAUCAACUCGCAGUUCGGGCCGAUCAAGAGUUUGAACUCAUUGCCAACAAUAAUAAAAUGAGAAGUUGGAAUGGAUAACCAUUUCAGCAAUAAUAAUUAAGGAUAUAGCAAAACUUUAAAAAAAUUGCAAAUAUAGCAAAACUAUAACUGAUAGAUUUGUAUCGUUGAUACACUUCGUAUGGUCUAUCAGUGAUAGAACAAUAUUUACAACAUGUUGAUAGAAUCAAUGAUAGAAUUUGACAAAUUUUGAUAUAUUUACAAAUUUUUUAAAAUGUUGGUAUAUACUUAAUUAUUGUUAAAUUUUCAACUACUCCUAAUUAAAUUUAUUCUCGACCCAGGCCAUCAAGCCCAGAAAACUCGGCCCAAAAUGAAUGAAACCCGAAAGAGGGCCCAUAAGAAUUUAGAACAGUUAUACAUAUGCUUUUCUUUUGGUUGUUUUAUUUCAUUCAAUACAACUUAUUUAUAUCUUCUUUUCCCUAACUAUUAAAAAAGAAGAAAAAAAUACAACCUUGAGUUUACUAAUUUAUAUACAUUAUAUGAAUAUUUUUUUAUACAAAUUGGAGUAGGUUGGUCAUAGAAUGAAAAACUUGUAAACAAACCAUGGACAUCUGUGUUAUCUAUCCAUACAUCAUCUACGCUAUUGCUUUUAACAUAGAAAUUGAGUAUGAAAUUAAGGGAAGUCUAGAAUCUAUUGGAAAUAGAAAUUAAAAAUGAAAUGUAUACAUAUUUGUAAUGUGUAACAAGAGGUAAAUAGGACCAAUUUAGACACUAAAACUAUAUAAGUUUUAUUAUAAUGCUUUUUUACAAUAUAUUCUAUACAUAAAGAAAAAGAAAAAGAAAAAGAUGGAAAAUUUGCAAAGGCACAAUAAAUAAGAAUAACUGCCUUGUGCAUGGAAUACACAUACAUAGCCCUCAUCUUCAUCACAUUGCCACCUGUUCAGUGUCCACAAUCCAAUUCUUUUUCCAAAUUAUUAUUUUUUUUUUUUUUUUUAACUCUCUUAUAUAUGUGAUAUAAUUUUUAAUUCUCACUUUUUCUUCCCUUACUGAGCCGAUUUAAGAGUCAAUUCCAGCUCAACGUCGUCGGCCUUCUCAAACCGGCUUCCAUUGCUCACAUCCCGGCCCGCUUCAUCAAAACUAGACCCAAUUCCUAAGUCAUGAUCCGGCCCGGGUUUUGGUUUGGUUCGAUGAUCAGGCUUCUUGAACCGGCUACGACCCUUGACCUUGAGAAGAUCGCCGGAAGCAGCCAAAUUGGGUUCGUUACAAACGUGGCGAAUGUCGCAGCAUUUGAGGGAAAGGUUACCGUUGUUUGACGGCGGCGUAUCUGGUUCGACGUUCAUGGAUCCGUUCAAGACGGCGUCGACGGCUGCCUGACAACGUUCCCAGUCGCCGGAGCACAGCAAUCCAACAGAACCGUACACCGGAUUCACCAUCCGACCGCACGCCUCGUACAGCAAUGACUUGAAAAUGGCUAAGAAAAACACAACAGGAAGACAACUUCAAUGUUAUAUAUCACCAACAUGACAACAGUCUCCUCAAAUAAUUAAUGUGCUUUGAUUCAUAAACUUAGCAAAUCAAUGCGUUAUGAUUAAAAAUCCUACAAUAGUAAUUAAAGUAUGAAAGAGUUUUAGUACCAUGGAAAAAGUCUAGAUUAAAUCUACGCAUAAUUCAUUAAUAAUUCACAAUAACUUAUCAGCUUAAAUUUUUCAAUGUCCUCUUGAUUGUAUCUUCUGUAAAAUUUAAUUAUAUUAAUUGUUAUUUUAACAUUUAAAUAGUAUAUUUUUCAUAUUAACAUUAUGAAAUUUGUUAACGUCCAACCUGCUUUUCAAAAGAAAAAAAAACCCACCAUCCUCUCCAACAUUUUACAUAUUUUAACUUUUUUAGUUAUAUAUGUAUAAUAAAAUCAACGGUGAAAAGGGAAAAAAAGAGAGGAAGAAAAAGGAAAAAGAGAAGAAAUUAUAUAUACCAGGGCGGAGGUGUUGGGCGGCGGCGGUGAUGAGGUUGAAGAGGCCGGCGCGGCCAUAAAAUUUGGCGAGAAAAAUGGUGGCGUUGGCUUGAGAAUCGGAGGAGGGAAUCCAUUGAAGACAAGGUCUAAUUAUACAGUCGUCGCUACAUCCUUUACGAAGAAUCCGACACCCAUUGCAACUCAUUCUCAUGCCUAAUUAUUAUCUUUUUCUUUCUUAAAUUUUAUUUUCAGAUUGUUUAUAAAAGAAGUAGGAGUAAAGCAAAUUAAUGGAAGAACAAAGCAGAAGAGGGGUAUCUAUUUAUGAAUCUAAAGAAAAUGAGGGCAUUCAAGGAAUUUCCUCAUAUCAUCAAUUCUACUCCAUUGAGCCACUGAUUUUAUUGAUAAAUAAAUAAAUAAGUGAUUUUUGAAGGAGCUCUUCAAAGUGGGUUUUUGUCUUAUUAAAAAUUAAGAAUAAUAUACAUUUAUAUUUGAUGUAUGCAAUGCAAUGUAGUGUAAUGUAUGUGUAUUUAUGAAUGAGUUUUAAUUAUAAUGGGAGAAAUUAAAUAAAUAAUUAAAAGAGAAGCACAGCAAAGCAAGUAGAAAUGUGGAGGGCAUGCAGUGGCUAUGUUUUAUUCUCUAUAUUCAAAAAGAAAUUAAAAAGAAAGUGCUUAAUGGGAAUGUGAUGAGUGAUGAUGGGUUGUUGUGUUAUAUUAUGUGUUCUAGAAGAACACUACUCUUUACUCUUUAUUGCAUUUUACCCCCACAAAACCAAAAUACAAUAAUUUACAUUUACCAUCACCUUUUUUGCUUUCCUUUCUUCUUCUAUCUUAAUAAUUUACAUUGACUCAACCACUACUAUAUACUAUAAGUAUUAUAUCAACUUCCAGUUCUAAGAUGACUUGACUUUUGAAAAGUUGAUAUCAAAAUUUACCAAUAGAUAGAAUUCAAAAUUAUUGUUUCUCAGGGCUGAAAUGAAAUAUCAUAUCAUUUCGAUUUUUAAAAUGAUGAAACGUAUUUUGCAUGAUAUGUAAUUAUGAUCGAAAGAAAAAACAUACAAAAAGAAGAAAGAAAGUAAUAAAUUAGCUAAAGUUAAAGUUAUAUCAUAAUAAAGGAGAGACGACUUCGAAAAAUUGCAUGCUUAUACAAGUGUAUAAGCCUACGAGAUCAUGUAGCGCGUGUAGAAAAUCGUAACCGACUGCGAGCGUUUUAGAAUCGUGUACAAAUUAGGUUGGUUUAUUUAAUUGAAAAUGAGUAAAUAGUCCAUAAAUUGCGAAAUGCAGAGCCCUUGGAAUUUAGAAACCACUAAAGUAUGCAAAUGGUUUUUGUGGAAAUGAAUGGGAGAAGUUAAUUAAGUAAGAAGUGGUUUCCAUUUUUUGGGCGAAUGACUUUGAUUCUUUGAUUAAUGUGAGGAUUUUGUUGUUUGAUUAAACUUGAUAUUGUGACGUGUUGGUAGGAGAAGGCUUUAUUACAAUCAAUUCUUUUUUGUUGGAUUUGCUAAUUGAAGCAAAAUUAUAGUUUCAUGCCCUAAAUGCAUAUGGUCUCUUGAAAUAUAUGUGUGCAAUUUAGGUUUAAUUACCUUCGAAUUACGUGAACAAUGCUAAAUUUAGAAAAAGACUAAUCACUUUAUAAAGUAGAGUUGAUUUUUAUGUGGAGUUUGUGAAUAAGGCAAUGAGUUUUAGUUUCAUUAUUAGAAAUUGAGUAGUUGGCAAAAUAACAAAAAAACGUAUAUAGGUUUCCACCGACACUAGCGUGAUAUAUGCAUAAGGAAUCUUAAAGUUAAAUUAUUUUAGGUUUUUCUUUUGAAAAAGUAAAACUGACAUCAUGUUUUAACGUUACAAUACUUUUUGAGUUGUCUUCACCUGAUCAGUUAUUUGUCUAGUUGGUAUCCAUAAACGCACUCAUCUUAAGUUCAAAAAUAAGAAAAUGAAAAAAAAAUAUCAUAUUGUCCAUCUCUAGACAAAAAUAUUUGUUACUCGAGUUCACACAAGUAUUUUUUUUCUUCAUGUAUUCCAUUUUAGUUAUGAUCAUUACACUACUCGAGACAUAGCUAUAUCAUCUUCAUAUCUUUCGUUUCAAUUGAUUUGAACAUUUAGUUUCAUAUUAUACAAAGCUAGCAAACUCAUUCUCAUUCCGUCCCUUGUCUAAUUAUCUAUCCUUGCAAGAUUUUAAAGAUAAAAUUGACAUGGAUUAAGGCAAGAAUCCUUGAUUAGAAUUUUCUUUCAAGUAAAAGUUUACUCAUAUCAAAGAAAUUCUUUUGAAAACAUUUAAAUAAAUGGUUAAAUUUUAAUUUAAGAAAAAAAAUAUCUACGAACAUAAAUUUAAUACAGAUUUAAGUAGAAACAAUAUAGUAUUACAAUUAUCCAUGGAUAGCUCGAUCAAAAUAUUAUAUCCUUGAGUUCGUAGCAACAACAAAAAAUGAUCUAAUUAACUCGAGUAUCUUCCAUGAAUCUCGAAAUUAAAAGAUUCAAUCUCCUACAACGAUGCCUUUUCCUCGACACCCCCUUAUUCUCCACCUAAAGGGAGAUGCUGUUUGCGGAAAGAGUGGACGUUCAAAUUAAUGUUUGUAUCAAAGGGCUAUUUCAUCCAUUUUGGGCCGUUAGUUGGUUCGCUAAUCUAUCAAAAUGAGCGGCCGAAAAUAUGGUCCACUAAUCCAACAGUGGGCCUAUGGGCCGUCUACCCAAACCAAACCCCGUAGUCCAAAUCUUUUUGGAUAAAAUAGGAAUGAUAGGCCAUUCCUAUUUGUAUUUAGUUUCAUAAUAUAAAAUAUGCUAUUGCAUUUUGAAUAAAGGUAAUUCAUAUUCACACCUUACAUAUUUUAACUCUAAUAUUUAAUAUUCAACACUCCAACCAAUAUUAAUUUUAUAUACCUACCAAUCAUAUCUCAUAAAUACACGUCAACAUACCAAUUUAAUCAUUUAACAACAUUCACAAAAUUUAUUCUUAUCCACAUACUUAAACUUUUACGAAAAUUAGUCUUUUAAAAUUGUACGAGACUACGUGAUUUAAGAAAAUUUUGUGUUCAAGUCCUGCAUUGUUGUUACGAGUGUUAUUGAUAUAUAAUUAAAUUUACUUUUAAGUAGUUUAAGGAGAUUUGUAUUUAAGCUUUAUGCAAUGUUAUUUUGUGGAACAUUAUUCUUUUUCAUAUUUGAAGUCGGGUAUGUAAGUGAAAACUUUAAGCUAAAUUUACCAUUAUUUUAACAUUGGAGAAGUUGAUAAAAUUAGAAGAGAAUUAGGUGGGUCUAUUAUAAUAUUAAGUUACUCAUAAUUUAUGAGAAGACAACGAAUGAUUUUAUUAUCUUAAAACUUGGCUCAUUCUAAAAAUGAGAAAUGUGAAAACAGAAGGAAAAGAAAAGAGAGAAGAGAUUGAUUCCAAAAUCCAAAUUAGAAGGCGACAAAGAAAGCAGGAGGCUGCUGCUUGGCUAAGUGUAUAAAUAAUAUUGCAGCUUUUUCUCAACUUCUUCGCCGCGCAAUACGCGCCGUAUUCUCAUAUCUCGGUUUCUCUGUUUUGUUUUUUGCUUCCUUUUUUCCCCCCUAAACCCCUUUCAUCCUUCUUCUUCUUCUUCUUCUUUUUCUUCCUCUUCUUCCUCUUCUUCUUCGAACUUACAAUUUCAUCUCUCCUUUCCUAGCCACAAUAAUAAACCAGAGAAGUUAGUGAUGUGCACGUAGUCGGACAAGAAUGGACAAGGUUGUUUCCCGUCUCCGCCCGCUAAUUUCAACUCCCAUCGCCAUUCUUGCACAUUUCUAUGAAAUUCUCCACUUUUGUAAUAGUUACCAUUUGUGUUCUUUAAAACAAUGAUAUUUCAUGUGUGAUACCGAUAACAUAGUUAAGAUGUAAAAGAUUCACAAUUCUUAAAAGUUAAAAUUUCAAUAAUUAUUAUAUCAACAUACUCUUUAACUAAAAAAAAUGGAGUGGGGGCCUCCCUCCCUCCCUUAAUUGAAGUUAUUAUAUUUUGUUUAGGGUAAAGCUCCAGUGAUUUAAAUUGACAUUUUAAAACCAAAGCACCAUUAAAACAGAAAAAAGAUGCAAAGCUGACCAUUUUUAUAGUACUAAUGGUUUGGUACUCAUUCCUACCUUUGUGUUGUUUCUUUUAAUUGCUGGGCCUCCCUAUGUUUUGAAUAUUAUUUUUAUUGUAAGACAAUUAAAUUAUACCACAAACCAACAACCACAAAAGAUCUCCAUAUCUCUAUUUUCCCAAACCAAACAAACACUAAAAUCCAACCUCCAAUCUACUUCUUCUCAACCAUUUAUAUCUCUCAUUUUAACCUUACCUCUGUCUCCUUCAAACCCUUCCCAAUUUUUUUUUCAAUACAAAAUUUUGUUUUUUCUCGACAAUGGAAAGAAGAAUGAUGAAGUGAAAUAGUAUAAUUAAUUGGAAUACGGUGGAUAUCCAUGAUCCAUCUAUCUCAUUUAUGGUGGGUUGGGCCUGAUUAAUUGGGUGUUAAAGGCCCAGUAGGCCCAAUUAGGAGACAGGUCCCAAGCUCCAGGCUUCGGGUACUCAACGGAAAUGGAGGAAGAAUAAUAAUAAACACAUAUAUAUCUGCAAAAUGCCAGAUCAUUCAGAUUCGACAUUGAAAUGACAUAUUACACAUCACAUACAUUAUUUUAAUCUAACUUAAUACCCCCUUUUUCUUUUCUCCAUCUUACCCACUUUUUUACCUUCACCUACAGACAAUGGAUUGCCAUUUUCUUUGGUUUUGAAAUUGAACCAUCCUCCUAUUUUUUGUACACACACAGAACAACAGAACCGACCUUCUGCCUUUUGUUUGCAGUACAAUUUUUUUUAAAAAAAAUAAAACCCAGAAAGACAUGAAUCACUAACACACUUCACUACUACUACUGCACAUUGUUUUCUGUACUGGAAUGAAUUAAAAGAAGGAAUUUAUGAUUUCAUAUAUAAACAAAGUGAAGAAGUACCAAAAUAACCCCGGUUUUCUCUAUUGAAUCAUAGGAAAACGAGUGUAACAAAAACAAAGAAAAAAUUGAAGAGAAAAACGGGGGUAUUUUGGACGGGAAAGAGUGUAAAAUUGAAUAAUUAAUCCUACUAAUUAUGAAGAGGAUCUGGACAACUGGGUAUUUUCCGUUUACUGUCUUCAAAUCCUUCAUCAUGGCGGUGACGAUCGAAGGCUCUGCCGUUGAAGUAUUUUUGGAGAAGAUCAUUUUUGGCGUUGUCUUUUUCUUCACCAGACAGUGAUUUAUCCGCUGGAUGCGGCGGCGGAGGAGGAGGAGGAGGAGGAAAAAUCCGUGAUGCUCUAGCUUGACAGUGACAACAAACCCAAAUCUGUGACACCCACAGGAUCAAAAUUAGUAUGGCAAAAGCAGAGGUGGAGGAAGAGGAGGAGGAAGUGGUGAUUCUUCUGUUAAACAUGGUGGCUUUGCCGGCGGCCGGAAGAAAAACCCACAAAGAGAAAAAAAAAACAAAAAAAACUUGAAAUAUUUCAAAAACACUCAAAUCCGUCCUCUAUCUGGGUGGACAUGUAUGAAUGUCAUAGUAAAUUGAGAUUGGUAUAAAAAAGAAAAAAAGAAAAAAGAAAUAGAGAGGAAAUUGUAUUGUGUAUGGAAAUGGAUUUGAGGCUUAGGUUAGAGAUAUAAGAGCAAAGGAAAAGACGGCUAUAAUGGGACUCAGAGAGAAGAGAGAAAGAGAGUCGACAAUGGCCCACGUGAUGAGGGGAAUAGCAGACUCAAAUGGUCCACUUUCAUAUAAUAUGAUAAUGGCAAGUUAGGUUUGACUCCUGUUUUCUCUAUUUAUUACUACCUUCAAUUUCCUCACUCUAAUAACUUAACACCAACAAAAAAAACACAGUGUAAUUUAGCAUGGUUUUGCUCCCCAUAUUUCAAUUUUCUAACUAUGUCGGUGCUAAUAUUUAUAUUUAUAUAUAAAGACUAAGAUUCCAAUAAACGUGACACAUUGAAGCCACGUAAGGUUUUGUUAUUGGAUGUCUCGAGUAAUUAGGAGACAAUUACAUCGCAAACUCUUUCUUCCUUGAUGAAUGGAUUGCCAAAGGCAUCUCUAUAAUUUCUGAUGAUACAACAGUCAUGUGAGUUCUUUGGGACCUCCCAAUUGGUCUCAUUUCUACCAAACAUUUUAAUUUAUGACCCUAUAUACAUAUAUUAUUAUUAUUAUUAUAAUACUGAACCUUUUCGUACUCCUUGAUACUAUCAAUAUAAGAUUAUAAUUGGCUUAACUUAAAUUAAAUACUUUUUGUAGAAAAUAGUUGUUCAAUAUUUUUCCCCCUCUUUUUCAUAGAGGGGGCCACAUAAAAGUAUCACCACACCAUUCUAAAAUUUUCAAAAACAUGUUUUGAAGUGAGAAAACUUUUAAGGUAGUAAUUAUUAUAAGGUGAAGGUUCUGAAUAAAAAGAAGAAAAAAAGAACCCCUUGCACAACCUACUAGUAUGAUUCAAUUUUAUGUGGAUUAAGGUGUGUGUGUAGAUUAGCAGGUGAUAAAGAUAAUUAAUUACGCAUGCGUUUGUGUUUAAUUAGCAUCUACUUUUUUUUUUAGAAAAAAGAAAAAAGAAAAAAACGACAGGUAAUUAAUUAAAUAGUUGUUUUAUUGGGUAACGUAAAGACAUGGACUCGUAACUGAGAAAAGAAAUGGGCAGAGGGUGGAUUGAAAAUGAAAACAUUUGUAGUGUGGAUGGCAGAGAAGGGGAGGAGGGUAGGCAUGACUCAUGAGAUUGAAUAAAGAGUGAUGAAGGGGAUAUGUCCCACACAAAGAACAGAGCAUCCAAAAGGGCUAAAAAAGAAAAAGGGACCCAUUUAUCAAUUUCAGAAAAUAAAAUAAGGGUCAUCUUGAAUUUUGAGCCCCAUGCAGGCAUUAAAGUUGAGCAACUUUUGCUUCUUAUUUGGACUUUGUACUCUUCUUCUGUCCUAUGACCUUUAAUCCUCUUUGGGUGUCUUUUUAUUACCUUUGCCUUUUUCCUUUUGGCCCUUUGGGGCCUCUUUUACUCUUCUUCUCCUUCUUCUCCUUCUGCAAGAGAAAAGGCAAAUGUUAAUAAAAAGGGGGGGUUGAAAACAGAAAAGCAAAUGACUUGGUCAAUAUUGAAUUUCAACCUCUUCAGACUUGACAGCUUCUAAAAUUCCAAUUACAUUCUUUUCUUUCUUUACCUAUUCACAUCAAAUUACAUAUACACAACACUACAAGCUUAGUUUUCUUUUAUAUUUAACCAAAACUACAACACGCGCUGCCUCUGACUCCAAAAAGUAACAAACUGCCUGAAAUGUUCUUUGCUUAAAUUUUAAUCAACCUACUCCUUCCAAUCCCCACCAAUAAAGCUAAUAUAUGACAGUCUACUGUUAGUUAUAUUAUAUUUAUAAUGUAAAUGAUAGAUUUCAUUGAUAUUAUAUACAUAGUCUUCUAAAUUUGGCUUAAUUACCACUUCAAAAGCUCUUGGGAACACCAUCAAUUUAUACGCACCCUGAUCAUACUCCAUAAUAUAUAAUUAGAGAAACAGUGCCUACAAGUUAAAUUAAAGGCGCAACAACAGAGAUACAAAUCAUUAAUAUACCCAGAGGCCAGAAGUGAAGGUGAUGGGGUGGAUUUUAAGCAUAGGUUGCCAUAUUCUGACCACUGGAUUUGUACGACUUGCGUUAGAAGAUAAAUUUGCUACUGUAACCUUUGUGAAGUACGUUUAAUAGUGAAUUUUUCAGAAGCAUGGCUGCAAAACUUCAAUUUGAGACCAUGAACUAAGCCCCCAUCAAUAAAAACACCUUUAGGCAGUGUUUUACUUGAGAUGUUCUGUGCAAAAAUCCCUCCCUUGUACUGGGUAAAUUAGAUAUGCAUAAUUAAUUGAAUAUGUACCUGCAAUUACUCAAGCUUCUACAACCAGAUAAGUCAUCCUGAAAGAAGAUUUCGAUAUAAAAAAUUGAACUUUCACGAAUUGGUUGAAGUUUGUAUUCAAUGACUGUGCACCCAAAAGAUUCUAAAUUCUCGAGGAGGUUUUAAUUUUCCAGAAUUGUUCGCUUGGCAAUCGUCACCAGGAUAAAGUAAAAUGAAGUACUGGACCAGACAUGAUUUUUUUUUUCAAGGAGAGAAGGAUCUGCCAAAAGAUAUGCACAUUGUAGCAUUCCAUAAGUAGUGAUUCACUAGUGAGGAGAAUUAAGGAAGAAUCAAUUACAUUACGGAUAGCAACAUCAGAGAUUCAGAAUCUUACGUAAAAUAGGUUCUGUUCACCUUUUCAUGUCUAUACCUGGGUGCCCUGUAUCAGAUACGAAUAAGUGAAACUGAUGCUGUACCCAUUUUAAAGGCAGAAAUUACUAAUUGAUGGUGAAACUCAAAUUCAAAAGGAAAUAUUGGAAGUUUGAAUCGAAAUGAUUUUGUAGAUACAUUUCUAUGCAAGUAAUUGAUAAAAUUAGCACUUCGGCCUGUUAAACCGAACGGAACUUUAUUAUACUUGGAGGGUGGCACAUGGAAGAAUUUAUUAUCACUCCCAAAAAUAUCAAUAGGGAAUAUGCCUUUAUUACUUGAUAUAAAAUCAUCAAUUUUUACAAGUUUGAGCGUUAUUUCUAAACCAUGGCUAGAGCUGAUUAUAGUAGUUUGAGGAAGACGAAAGGACUAACUUGUACAUAUACACUGGAAUGGAGGACAAAAAGAGGGGACAUUUAUCCUUUAAUAUCACUCUUCUAAUCACGUGAUACUGUCCAGGCCAUCCACCUCUCUAGCAAAGGCAGGGUCACAUAUGAAACACAGUGGGGGGCCUUCCUAGUACAACACAAGAAAUCAAAUAACAAAAUGCCAAUUGAAAUUUUUUUGCUUAGGCAAAAUGUAAGUUCAUUAAGGGUUGAUUAUCUUAUAAAGGAACUUUAGCUCCAUCUGAAGCAUGGCUAUUUAUUUGUAAUGAAGAAAGAUUGUAACUUUUGCCUGCUUAUCAAUAUCAGCACCUAGAUCUACAAAGAUCCACCCAAUGGAUUCCUGGGUCCUGGAGUUCUAGCCCCAAAGCAUACUCAUUAUACAAAGAAAUAUUUAUUAGUACGUAGUGUACGAUUAAAGCCAAACGUAACUCAAGAAGUUAAGAUGGACUAACCACUAAGUAAGUGCUCUUCCCAGUCACAAAAUAGGAAUUCGUUGGUGCCAAAUCAAUCGCAUAACUAAUAAUGGUAUUCCAAAAAUUUCUGCAUUUUUAAGUAAUGAGAGAUCUAAUUCUUUACCAAUUUCCUAACUAAUAACGAGUAGGUUUUCCAAACUUAGCGCAAGUUAUAGCUUUUUGACUUUUCUUUUUUCUCUUUCGUAUUGGGACAAAUUGAAUUUUUUAAAAAAUAUUUUCAUCUAGAUUAGAGAGAAAGGAUUAGUUAGUGAGAAACCUUCACAUAAGUGAAAGAGAGAGUGAAUUUUUCCUCAUGCAUCAGAGUGAUUUAAAGCGCUAAUAAAUGGAUAAAAGAAACUGCUAUAACAGCCAUGACAAACAAAUACAACUUGAGCAACAGAAUCUUUAACGAUAAAAUUAAUAUUGAUUCACAUGGGUUACAUAACAGUAGGUUCUAAGCUUUUGGAAAAUGAUGCAAAAAGGUCUGUAUUCUUUUGUGCGAGCUUUCUCCUAAGCCUUUCUCUCUGAUAUAUGAGCUUCAGCAGACAAGACAGUAAUAAAAGUUAAUAUAGGUUUUGAGUGUUUAAUUAAAAAGUUGUGUCCCACUUACUUUAAUAAGAAACAAUUAAUUGAUUUGGGGUAAGGGAAUUUUUGUAUGAAAAAAAUUAAGAAUUAAGAGGAAAUUAUCAAGGAACCCUAGAAGGCUAUAAAAGGGUAAGAACCCUUCCUAGAGAAGGAACCUAAAAAAAGCUUGGAAUUUGGCACAAACAUAAUGAACUUUCCAAGCGGAAAUCUAGUAGAUAUAAAUGUCAAACAUGACCUAACUUUCAAGCCUCCAUCAAAAUUCUCUUAUUUCUCUCUUUCAUUUGAACAUCCCAAAAUUUGCUGACUUGGAGUGAUAUAAUUCGAUCUAACUUUGAUUCUGAAACAAGAGCCACGUCUAUGAAAUUGAAAGAACGGCCCCCAUAAUCCUAAAACUGCCUGAACAACAAAAGAAGUGCGAAAUUUAUAGCAUGUUUGGAUUGAUUAAUUGUAGGCCUACUUUGUUAAAUAUACAUUCCACCAAAAACACUAGAGAGUAUAAAUAACUGACCCCACUAUUCAAAAGUUGUCUCUACUAUUUCAUUUAUGUAUUCAGAAACUAGUUAAUAGAAUGAAGAUUUUUUCUAUCACCGUAAUCUUUGUCCUAAUCUUCUCCUUCAUAGUUAUUAAGGUCCAAAAAUCCAAACAUUCGUUAAAAGAAGUUCAAGAAUGUUAAGCCAAUAACGAUUCCCCUAUGUCUGGAAUAUGCUCAGUAUACUCACGCUAACAAAAAGCAUCAAGAAUUUGGUAGAAUGAGCAUAUUUUCUCAACAUAUAGGUUACUCAAAAAAUAAUCUACGAAGCCGAAGCUUAAGAAACUAAUGCUCACACGUAACGCUAUAUAAUGAACUCCAACGCAAAAUGUGAAACAUUAUCCAGAAAGAAACAUUGGAGGAAUGUAAACUUCAAACUGAUAGUUCACCUCAUCAUAUAUAUGUUACAAAAGAAUGAUAUUGUAAAACAGAGAAUUGAGAACAAAUGAAAUAGAAGAAUGUGGUACGUACGCGGUUUUGCAAAUCCUUUGACGUCAUUUUAGUUCAAAAGUUGAGUGAAGGAAGUGAUGAGAGCUGAAAGCAGUUCUCCAUCGGUGGACAGUAAUGGCCUAUCAACUAAAAUUUGAAAUUAGCAGUGUAGCUUGAACGAAGAAAUGAAGAUUGGAUCCUUCAAUUGCGUUCGUCGUUUCAUCUGGGCCAGGGAGGAAGCCUGACCCGAAUAUCACUAUUUUGGCCCACUUUUUUUUUUUUUAAUUAUAGUAUUGUUUGAAAUUAAAAGCUUAGAAGAAAUAUGUGAUGGUGUCUCGUUUGGAUUAGCUAUGCAUUGAUCAAUUUUUAAAUUUCAAUUCGUAGUCUCUAACUUGUGUCCCUAGCUCACUUAAGUAACAAAUGUAUGAAUUGUUGAAGUCGAAAUUCAAAUAAUCGAAAUGCAAUUGGCUUCCAAGUGAUAUUAGUAGUGAAUUUAUUUUUAGAAUGGAGAAUAACGUGGCUCGUUACAAAAGACUAAAUAUGCACAGUAGAACUUGCCACACAUGUAUGUCUUGUUUCUUAUACACAUGCUUAUGUCAUAGAGUGGAAAAAUGUGAAAGUUAAAGAGUUUAAUUUAAGGUUAAGAUUAACUUGCUUUAGAUGGAGUUAUAAUAAUGUAUUUAUAAGUUAAAUAAUGUUGACCUAAGUUUUUUUACGUUCCAUUUGAAAACUCAAUUAUCUCAUGAUUUGAUAGUACAAACUGUAAUAUACUAAAAGUGUCGUUGUAUGAUGAUUGGAUCCCUAACCGAAUUGAAGGAAAGGUUAGCACAAAUGUCUUACUUUUCCCUCGUGCUAUUUAGGCUCCUUGACCUUGAAUGCAAACUCUAAGGACAAGAAAAAGUUGAGAGUUGGAAAGUGUAACUCUCCUCCCUUAGCCCAUCAUAAUCUUGUUUUGGUUCUAGUCAAGAAUAUUGGGUUUACCUUUUUAGUGAAAAAAUAUAUUAAAUGUUGAUAUUAAGUUUUAUUCAAAGAUAGAUAUUGCAUGACUAGAUCAAUUAGAUUCAAUCAAAAUAAGGAAGAAAAACAAUAGAAAUUAGUCGUAAGAAAGUAACAUCAUCCAUUAGAUUAUGGUUUAAUUAAAAUUCAACGAAAAUAACACACAUGCAAUUAGUCCAUACGAGUAAAUUAAUUGCUAUAACUUAGAUGUUACAACUACAAUUAAUUUACAAGCAAAUGAAGAAACCAACAUCGUUAUCUAGUUUAGUAAAUGAGAGGGCUUUUAAGGGUACGGGUACGAACUUUAUACCUCUAUUUGUAAAACCAAGAAACAACCAACUAGGUAUUGGUUUAGAAUGAAGACAAAAGUGGUAAAAUUUGAACCAUUUAUACAACGGGCGAGGACAGUAUUUUAAAAUGGGAUAGUUGUAAAUUUAGCAAUUAAUUAAGUAUAUAGCACAAUUGUAGAAAAUUUGUAAAUAUAGCCAAAUUUGUUAAAUUCUAUCAAUGAUAUAAGUCUAUCACUGAUAUACCAUAUAAAGUCUAUCAGCGAUACAAGUCUAUCCGUGAUAGUUUUGUUAUAUUUGUAAUUUUUUUAAAAUAUUGUUAUAUUCUUAAAUAUUAUUGCUAAAAUAGUCCUUCAUUUCAAUUUUCCAUUUUAAAAUAAAUGUGGUAAGGAUUAGAUAGCAAACAUAUCACAUAGCAUGGAGUAUUUGAAAAAUGGGCCUUGUUUGUUUUUGUAGAAGGUGAAGUAUGGGCCUCAGAAUCCAAAGCCCAAGCAAGGGUGAUGUAGAUCUUGCCCAUCUUGCAUCAGUCUCUCUACAAUAAUGUCGGUGGUCCACGUAACUCAUCGACGUGACUCAUAUCAUUGAUUGAUUAAUCUAGAUUUAGUUUAGUUUAAUUUGAUUUAAACCCAGUCCAAUAACUAUCCUCACACAAAAGGAAAAGAGAAAUGAAGAAAAAAAGAAUGAAGAAGAAGUGUAAUGGUAAUGUUAAAAAGACAUGGGAAGUGAAAUAGCAGCAAUGCAUCUGAGGGAGGAUUAGGAUUAAUUAAGUAAAUUGGGAGCGUAAUGUGAGGACAAAAGGAAUAGAAACGGGAAAAAAAUGUCAGCCCCAUUCCGUUGAUAGAGAUAAGGGUAAUGGGUUGUUGCCACGUGUCAAAAGGAAAUGGUGAGAGGAAGUGAUAAGGUUUGAGAUCUCAACUAUGUGAUCUUAAAUUCAAGUUUUUUACCAACUAAAUUUACGACCACUAAAUUGGUUUGUGAAUGGAUAAAAUGAGGAUAGUAAACAGCUUAUAAAUAGACUACCAUUUCACAGUGCAAUGCCUCUCAGACUCAACACCAAGAGCUUCUUCAAACUACUCUACUAGCUAUUAGUAAAUCCUUCUAAUCCUCCAAGAAAAAAAAGAGGCAUAAAUGGCUUCAUCCAUUCUCUCAUCCGCCGCUGUUGCCUCUGUGAACAGUGCUUCCCCUGCUCAAGCUAGCAUGGUAGCACCAUUCACUGGCCUCAAAUCUUCCGCUGGUUUCCCCAUCACUCGCAAGAACAACGUCGACAUCACCACUUUGGCUAGCAAUGGUGGAAAAGUUCAGUGCAUGAAGGUAUCAAAUUUCAAUUUAUAUAUUAAUUAAUUCUAUAUUUGUUUGAUUUAAUGAUUAAUUAUUUCUCUCUUUUUUUUUAUAAAAAAUAAAAAAUUAGGUGUGGCCACCACUUGGAUUGAGGAAGUUCGAGACUCUUUCUUACCUGCCUGAUAUGAGUAACGAACAAUUGUCAAAGGAAUGUGACUACCUUCUCAGGAAUGGAUGGGUUCCCUGCGUUGAAUUCGACAUCGGAGUAUGGUUAUUUUUAUAUUUAUUUAAUUUAAUGGGAUUGAAUAAUUAAAUUAAUUAGUGUUUUCGUGAUUAAUUAGAGUUUCUUUUUGUUUUUCUUUUAAUUUUGGCAGAGCGGAUUCGUGUACCGUGAGAACCACAGGUCACCAGGAUACUACGAUGGACGUUACUGGACCAUGUGGAAGCUCCCUAUGUUUGGCUGCACCGACUCAUCUCAGGUGAUUCAGGAGAUUGAGGAGGCUAAGAAGGAAUACCCCGACGCAUUCAUCAGGGUUAUUGGCUUUGACAACGUCCGUCAAGUGCAGUGCAUCAGUUUCAUCGCCUACAAGCCCCCAAGAUUCUACUCUUCUUAAGUUCCAUCUGCUGAGGCUUUCUUGAGGCGAAUUUCCACCAUUUGCCUUUUUUAAAGCUCCAUCACUUGGGUGGUUUCAACCAAAUUUCCCCCCUUUAAUUUUUUUCUUCUCUCUUUUUUUUUCCUUCUUAUUUUUCCAUUUUACGUUUUGGUUUGUCUGUUGAAUCCCACUAUGUUUAUUUCCCCGACUUUCCAAUUCGAAUUGGAAUAAAUGAUGCUUUGAUUUGUUCUUCAAUUAUCCUAUCAAUCAAUCGGUCCUGUUUGCAUCUUUCCUCAUGGAAAUUCAAUCUAUUUCCCUAUGAAAAUGUUCAAUUGGGGUUUGUGUUUGUGUGAUGGAUAUUGAUUCGUGGUAACGAUAAGGUUUAAUCAAUUUCAUCCACUCAACCGUUGUCUUCAUUAUUCCCUUUUAAAUUCGCAUAAUUCUCCAAAGAAAGAAAACAAAAACCAGUUGGGCCAAAUGGGCCGCUUUCUCGAGUAAUUAUCUCCAACGACUACUUUUUCCAUCGUGGAUGGAGAAAGGGCCACGUGUAUUCUUCUUAAUGGGCUUUACUUAGAGAAAUAUCUGGCAGUGGCCCAGCUGAAAAUUGACACGUAACCUUCAUGAAAAUUACUUCUCUCUUCGUCAAAAAGUGGGAACGCUUAUUGUAUAUCUUUUGGUCGUAAACUUUUCAUCUACUCAUAUCAUAUCUAAUCCCACUCUCUCUUACCUUUUCAUUAGUUGUUUCAUUUCAUGUUAACAUCGACAACCUUUCAAAUAUCUCAACAAUUUAAUGAUAUAAAUUUGUCCACUUUCAACAUAAACUAUAACUUGUUUCGAUAAAUAUAGUUGUCUUUACUCGUAUAUAUAUUAUCGUCAAUUUAUCAACCGUCAAUAUGUAAGCAUAAUCAUAAUUCAAUCAUGGUCAUAUAAUUGUUGAUAAUAAUAUCUUUUGAUGAUAUAGAGUUGAAAAGCAAAUUAAUGUAUCGAUGAAGGGGCAUAGAGGAUGGAGCAUAAUUAUCAUCCUAAGUUUAUGCAACAAUUUUUUUAAUAAUGUGGACCUACUAGAUGCAAAAAUAUAAUGUCAAUAUGUACUUGUCAAAGUCCCUUGUCUUCAAGGAAGAACAAACCUCCAUUCAUUGAAAAUAAAGGAAAACCUUACAUUUUCAAAAUCAACCAAUCAGAAAAAAAAAAAAUGGACGCAUAAGUAUGAUAGGACAUUAUGGAUUCAAAUGGUGAAUAAUAGAAGCCAUCAAAAGUAUCUUAUCAUAGAAGAAGAAGUAGUAGUGAUACACCACUCUCAUUUCAAGAAAAUUAAAGAUGCUUUUUUUGUAUGGUAUAUUAGAAGUGGAAAUAGAUGUAUAAACAAUGACUUUUCAGGGUAAAAACAAUUUAGAAUUCGUCUAUAUUGAUUUAAGAAAAAAUAUUUUUGAAAAAACUCGUCUUUAUUUAAUUUAUUUUGAUCAAAUUUGUAUAGAAUAUAUUUUAUAAGUUAUUUUAAGCGGUUGUCAAUGACACUCUAAUUUUUUAAAAAAAACGACUUAAUUUAAACUCACAGUUAAAAAAUAUUUCAAACACAUCUUUAUUCACCAUGGAAAUGUUUGGAAAAUUAGAUAUAAUCAAGAUUAUUAAAAAUCGAAAUAAUGUUCGAAUAACAUGCCAAAUUAAGAUAAUAGAAACACAGUUUAAUUGAAAGUUGUUGUUGCAACAAAAUAAGUUUUUAACAACUAGUUCAAAAAUUAAAUCCAAACAUCAAUUUUUUAUUAUAUUACAUUCUAUCCCAAUGCAAUUAUGGGUGUCCACUAUCUAAACACCCUCUAAAUUGUGUAUGAGUCAGUGUAAGGUUAAAUGUAUUGAUUAUAUAAUAAAAGUAUAAUAGUUGAAUUUAUACCUAGGUUGAUUUUUUAAAUGUACUUAAAGAGGAAAAAAAAAAAAAAAAAGAAAAACUACAAAUGAAUUUAGAAUCUUGGAAACUACCUUCCUACUUAAUGAAAAAAUUUAUUUAUUUGAGAGUGAAAAAAGUUAACUUUAUUUUGGGUUGUAUAAGUCGUGAUAAUUUAAGAAAUCCUAUUUUUGACAACAAAAAACUGCAAAGGAAGGGUGGAAAAAAAGGAUAAUAAUAAGGGUAUAUUUGUAAUUUUGAAAUAAAGUUAAAUAAAAUAAAUGAACAUUUUGUUUUAUUAUUGUGAGUAAUGACGAUUUCUAUUUUGGUGUUCACAAAACUAACAUUCAAGUGGACGAAAAUGACAUGAUGGAACGCGUCAACCUCUUCUGUAGUAAUCGAUAGAUUGGAGAUUUUGGUCCACAAAUAAGGAUAGCCGUCGUAAUUAACCACCGGCUCGGAGACAAUUCAGAGAUUUCAUUAACCAACCCUUCCCUUUCCCCCCCAAUUGGGUCAUGACUUUAGCCUUACACCCACCUUUUCAUUCAACCCACGAUGGGCUUCAAUUUCCACCAUACCAAUAGCCCAAACUUGUUCUUUUGCCCAUGGUUCCCUAGUUCACUUCUAACAACCCACCACUUGAUCGAAUCCUUGUGAAUAACAUGAAGAAACUGUACAAAUUUGGGAAAUCCUGGAUUGAUACUACUUUUUUGUAUGAUACUACUUCUCAGUACAACAAAUGACAACAUUAACUCUCUUAGUUAUUGGAAAUUUUAAUGAUUUACCAUUUUCACAAGCUUAAUAAAUUGAGUGUUCUUAAAAAGAAAAGGUUAAUCCAUGAGAGUUUUUGUAAAGUUUUUUUUUCUUUUUGUUUAUCAUGUAGAAAAAGGCAACACACUAGACAACUAUAAAUGUGUGUCACGUGGUAAAUUUAAACAUCAAAAGAGUAGGUUAGUAAUGAUCAAAUCAUUCUAAUAAAUAACACAAUAUGUUAGAUGACAAAAUAAAGACGUACGUUACACAGGAUCAAUUUAAACAUGGAAGCAUGUUGAAAAAUACACCAUGCUGAUACCAAUUAUCUGUAAACUCAAUGAUCUGAACCGACCUGCGUAUGUAAGCAGAAUUAUCCCUCAUCCAGAAGCUACGCUUUUUGUGAUAUAAAUAAUGCAUAUUUGUGUAAGAAGUUAGAUAGAAUUUUGAAUGGGUCCUCUAUAAAAUUGGUGUGAAGUAAGCCUUUUUGCAGUCCUAGAAACAAGCGCCAUCUCUACUUUAUGGAUUCCAUCGAACUUGGUGAGCAGAAAGGGACAUUUGAUGCUGAAUGUUAUCAGUUAUUGUUUAAUAAUUUCUAUGAAGUAACUAAGCUUAAUUGAGUUUAUUAAAUGUCACAAAGCAAAGCAUCUUCUUCGCAUCAAUAAAAUUGUGUCAGAAUUCAGAAAUCAAUACUCCAAUAAAGAGACAAGCUCUGCAACAAAGUUGCUUUGAACAUCAAAGAAAGAGAGAGAUGUUUAUUCCACCAACAAAGUUGCUUUAAAAAAAGCUGAGAGGUCGGCGGUACCGUGAAGAUGCCCUGAAAAAAAAGCAAAAUCUAAUUCUUCCAUCCAUAGCGUUAUGCCCAAGCAAAUAUGCAAAAGGAAUAGUGAAUCGAAGGUAUGGAUCUAAGAGUGCCGCUAGAGUUGAUAUUUGCUGAUCAAGUUGUUUGAAGCGUGUGUAUCAAAAUUCAAGGAAUUUCAACAGGUGCUGUUAGAUCAAAAGCAAAUACAAACCCAGAAAGAUGAACAAAAUCACAAUCGGGAAAUAUGGUUGUACAAUAUUCACAUCUUGAUGACUUCAACAAACUCGAGUUCAAGUUCUUGCAAUAUGUACAGAUUGGCUCUUUCUCACUUGGAACUUUCUAAUGAAAAUUUCCUCAACCUUAAGACUUCUAAUUACAAAAAUAUAAUACAAGAGGUUGACAUCCACUCAUCGCAUUCUUCUCACCUCAAAAGAAAAAAAAAGGGAAAGGAAAAGCCUUAAAAUACACAGCUUUAGUAUACAUGGGCAAGUUUUUUAUUUACAUUUACAAAGAACACUUCAAACAUAUUCACAAAAAGAAGGGAAAUUGUAAUUGUAACCUUUCUUCUCUUGAGAGACUCAACUCUUUUGAAUCUUUUUUUUUCUUCUAUUUGUAUUGGGAAUCUUACUUUUCUUGAAACUGUAAUACGAAGAUGACUUUUAUCUUUGUAUUUUAGGCGAAAGCAGGGAUGCUGCAAUUUUGCCUAUCCCUAUCAAGGCAAUCAAAACCCUCAAUCCUCACCGUUGGUUUGUUCCCAAAACUCGCCCUUACGCGGCCUCCUUUCCUGGAGGAUGUAGACGGCGACAACUGACCGGACGGUGAAGCAAUCGGAGUAAAGGGGAUGAAUUUUUCUUCCCUAAAUCGAGCAUCCUGAAUCAAAGGGUUGGCUACUCUGCUCGGCGGCGACCCACAUAAAAACGGGGGCGACGAAGCCAACUGCGUAAACGAUUGGUCCACGCUGCAACCACCCUGUUUCAUUAACAACCACAUGAUCAUCAAUAAAUCAUUACAAAAUUUGAAUGAUGAUGAAGAAAAUCAAAGGAGAACAGAGGAGGUCGUACCUUCGUCAGGAGGAAGUCAAGGAGAUCCGGUCCAGCUGCCAUGUCGAUUGGCUCAACUUGGUGACUGAAAAAUCAGUUCAAGAAGAAUUAGCACUUGAUAACAAAAGGGGUUGUAAUAAAAUAAAGAAAGUAAACGAUGAAGAACCUUAGAUUCCACCGGAGGGAGGUAUCGGAGUGGGCGUUGACGGUGAGACGACGUGGUUUAGGGCAAACAAGUUGAUCUCUGAAGUCAGAAAGGGGACAAGGAACAGAGGUUCUCAUCUCCUCGUGGCCCGAGAAGGCGUUUGACAGAAUGGCGCAGUGAUUCAUAUUUGGUGUUGGGUUAUUUCAAGGGACAAAUAAUAAAAGCUGAGAGAGAGAAGAGGGAAAACCAAAAACAUAUUAAAUAAAAUCAUGCUCGCGACAAAUGGCACCAAAACAAUCGUAUGAAAGCGGAAAGAAAGGAGAAGAAAAUUCAAAGUUUGAUUUUGUCCCCUAAGCAGAUCGGAAUCCGUUCGGCAAUUUCCUCAAACAAUUAAAUAUAAAUAAUUAAAAGUUAAAAAAGAACGGACAAAAAGUUAGCUCAUUAGUUGGCAUGAAAUGAUCCUUUCUUUCACUAACUUAACAUUAUUAAAUACUAAGACAACACCAACAGAUGUUAUCCAAAGACUCGCCACUUUUAACCCCCCAAAAAAAUAAAGAAAUAGAAACAUAGAUCUAGCAGAGGAAACAUGGAAAUUUUGAAAGAAAGAAAAAACCCUAAAAACCGGUUAAACCCAUUCAUGAAUCAAUCAGUUCCGACCUAAAAAUCCAAAGACACUUAAACUGGAAACAUGGGUUCGCUCCGUUCACCCACCAAAGAGUUCAGACUACAAUUAAACCAUCUACAGCCACAAACAACAUAUAAGAUUUAACAGGAAUCAGAUAGGCAGAUCCAAGCCAGAGAAGCAAUAAAAAAAACAAGAGAAACAGAGGAAUUCAAAUGAAAAAAAAGGAGGGAAGAAGAAGAAGUAGAAGAAGAAUACCUCAAAACAAAGUGGCAGCAGUUGGGUAUGAAGACUUGAAAAAGGUAAAGAGGUAUGUAUUAUAUACAGAAAUGAAAGAAGAAAAGGUUGAGAUGUGGAUGGGGAAGAGUUGUAGAGAGAUAGAUAGAUAGAUAGAUAGAUAGAUAGAAAGAGAAAAGAGUGAAAAGGAAAGAAAAGGUGGGUUUACAAAGGGGGAGACAAAGCAAUCAGAAUAGCAGAAGAAGAAAUAAAGAACAGAAAUGGCAGAGAGAUAAGGUGGAUGAAGAAGAAGAAGAAGAAGAAGAAAGGGAAAAAAUAGAAAUAAAGAAAUGAAGGGAAAAAAGGAAAAGGGCAGCAACGGUUCCCAACUCAAAGCCGAGUCUUCGCUUCGGUAUUUGAGUUUAUGGUUUAUAUUUCAAAUUUUUUUUAAUAUAAACUUUAAAUUACGUAUUUAUUAAGCAAUUUGUAAUUGUAGCAUUGGCGGUGCCGGUGAUGCUACCGCUACCCCAGCGGAGGCGACAGAUAUUUCCACUUUUUUAAUAUUAAUAAACUUUCAUUGUUAAUUUUGUUUAUCAUAGAUCUAUCCAUUUUUUAAAAAUAUCAGAAUUUGAAGCACUUUUGAAUUUGCAAAGCACAAUUUUGUUUAAUGCCAGUGGUGAUGUUUUAAAUUUAGAACACUCAUUUGCUUUAACCAAAAGAAAAUAAAAAGUAGUGUUUAAAGUUUAAAAGACGUAUGCCUAUUUUGGUAAAAUUUUAAAAUGGAACUUUUAAAACAAAAAUCAAAUUAUAUUUCCUAUUCUUAGUUAUGCAUUUGGUAGCAUAUGCGUUCAAAUAAUCAUUUGGUAAAUAUAAAGAUAAGGCUUAUUUUUAAAUAAAUGUAUAUAUAUAGCAAAAUUUUGUAUAUGAUGAUGAAAAAAAAAAGUGGGAAUAAGGGAGAGAAGCAAAUGUUAACCAACUUCGUAGAUAAAUUAAUGUAUUAAAAAAAACAAAUUUUAUUAAAAUCUAAAUACCUAAAGGACAAUAUUAAAAUAUAUACAUAUUUUUAAUUCUGUUUCAUUUUAUCUAUAUUAUCUACAUAUGAAUAUCUACAAGUUUUUGUUUUUAUUUUUUAAAUGGUCCAUUUUAUGUGCGACAAAAAUAAGGGUUUUGUUAUUAUUAUUUUUAAUGUAAAAUUAUAUCAAUCACUUAGGACAGAUGGUAUACUUUCUUUAGUCACUAAAACGUGAAACUCUUAAAAAUUAGGAAAAUGUUGUUUUCGUUUUCUUUUAUUAUUGUUGUUUUUCCUUUUCAAUUAAAACUUAGUAAGAAAAAACAAUUGUAUAUAUAUUAUUUAACCAAAACGUUCAACUAAAUGGGAUAAAAAUUAUAAUCACCAAUGAUAAAAAAAAAAUAUAUACCACAUGAGAGAUAAGCAAAAUUUAAGUAAUUUUGUAAAAUUUGAUUAAAAAUCGUACUGAGGAUGGUGGGUGAAGUAGAGUAGGAACUGAGUAGUGAAAAUAAUGAUAAUAAUUUGGUAAAGAAGAAGUAAUGUUUGAGAGUGGUAGAAGUGGUUGAUGUGAAUAUCUAAAAUUAUAAAGAAUUGAAUGGAGGGUUGUAGUGAAUUACCAUGCCCAUAAGAGGUAUAGGAUCGUGACACGUGGAAGGUUUAAUGUGGUUAGUCGGCAGAUGAGCAUCAUUAUUAAUGGGAUGGAAGUCGUCACGUGUAUACACGCUUUUCUAUGUUGCAACUUAUUGUAUUAACGGUGUUAUACUAUUUUAAUAUUUAAACUAUGGGGACAUUCAUCAUUUAAUUACGCUUUUCAUUUCUUCUUUCCAUAAAAACUAAAAACGAAACAAUAUUGCUUUUCAUCCUUUUUCUCGUUGUUAUUGUCAGGUGAAAAAUAUUCAAUUUUAAAUACCACAUAAAUUCAUGUCAUUAUUGUAUAACUAUAUUACAUGUAAAAAGAACUAGGCUUUUUCAAAUAUAGAACCAAUUGUGAGUACCUAAAGGAAGCCAAAGUUUCCUUAAAGUCUAAUAGUAUUGCAUUUGAAUUGAAUAUGAUUGUAUUUAGUAAAUUCGUUUAGACUUGUAAGAAAAAAGAAUUAUAAAUAGUAUCAUAUGAUUAGGUAGUGUUUUAGAUAUCUAAAAUGUAUAGAAUAGUAUUAAUUUAGUUGACACAAAUAAAUAGAUCACAUCAAAGUAUAAGGAAAGAUUGUUACGCAAAAAAUCUUGGUAUAUGAAGUCAAAUGUUCACACAUCCAACAACAAAAUACAAUAUAAGAAGGUCAAAUAUUAAUUUGACCAACUCGAUGCUAAAUAUAACAAUUCCUUUUUUGUUAAGAAAAAGGAACAAAGAAAAUUGUUGUUUAUGCUAAUCUUCGGCCGCCGGUGAUCUAUAAUUAAUCCCACCAGAGGGUUACGUUAUCCCCUCUUUAAGAUGUAUGGGAACUGCCUUACGUGUUUUUAUUACAAACAAAAAUAAUCACAUUUUAUGUAAGGUUAAUUUUCAAAUACAAAAUAAAAAAAUUUGAUAUUUAGAGAGGAAAGCAAUACAAAUUUUAUCUUUAAUUUUAAUAGUAAGAAGGCAUGCAUUCAAACUUUAGACCUUGUAAUCACUAAUCAUAAAAAUGUCAAUUUAAACUAUCAUUUUUAAAGUGUAGUUGGAAUAAUAACAUAAGAAUACGAUCUUAAGGAAGAAGAAAUAGAGAACAAUGUUUUUAAAUUUUAAUUAAGCCUAAACUCUAAGCUUUAUUAACAUGGAAAGAAAAACCACCUCCGAAUGAUAUUCUCCAUGUCUGCCUUUUCAAUUGUCUGCUUUAGUCAUCAACUAAACCCAAUUCAGAUAUGAAUCUAAGAUCAAUGGAGAAGGAGUGAAGAAGAAGAAGAAGAAGCAGAGGGAAUGAUGAUGAAAGGAAGAGAGAGGGGAAAUGGAAAGACAGAAGAGUCGGCCUUUUAAAGUUAUUGUUUAUUUAUUUAUUUAAAAAUGUCAUGACCAAAAAUAGAAACUUUUAUAAACUCAUAAACUUGCACCAAAUUUUGAACUCAAAAGUUCACAUAUCCAUAUUUUUCAAAACUCAUAACUCAAUACUAAUAAUGCAAAUUUUCCUUUUGUAAAUUAUAGAAAGUAACUUUUAUUUGGUCAUAAAUAACACAUUGAAAUUGUUUUUUAAAUUCCAUUUCCUUAGAAUAACGAACUUCUUUUUUUUAAAUAAAUAAAUAAAAAAAAUUCAAACUUUCGUUUAAAUUGUAAAAGUGUAAAAUUGUUGAUUUUGUAUAAUUAGGACUUUAAACUUUGAAAUAUGGCUAUUAAGAAAAUAAACUCUUGAUUUUGCUUUCAAUGAAUUUAAAUUGUAUGUUUCAUCUCUUGUCAAACACAAAAUACAUUUUUGCACACAAUAGGUCUAUUAUUUAGUAGGCAAGAAACUUGCUCUGACACAAAAUUAAAAGUUGAAAACUAAGUCUUAAUUUGACAUUUUUAAAGUAUAUAAAACCUAUUAGACACAAAUGGUAAGUUUCAUUGAAGAACACGAGUUUUAAGACAACCUGUAAUUCAAUUUUUUUAGUAAUACUUAGCAAGCAUUUAUAGAAUUAAUAAAGUAUUGGAAUAGAAAAUAUUGAAAUUACAACCAAUUAGAAACAGUUGGGUAAUGAAAUUAGGCAAGUAAAAUUAAAGAGGCAUUAAUAGGAGAAAAAUGUGAGCAUAUAAAUAGAUAGGCUAGUGAUAUUAGUAUAUUAAAAACGGGAGAUAAGGAGGACAUGGGAGAGAAGCUAAUAAUAGAAAAUAUUUAAAGAAGGAUUGUUAGAAGAAAAUGUUAUAAGAGACAAACACUACUAACUACUGAACCAAACUUGGUUAACACUUUAAGUUGCAUAUCUAUCAUCUACAAAGUUAGAGGUUCAAAUUCUUUCAAACUAGUUAAACUAGAAAAAAAAAUGUAGAAAAUAAGUUGGGCAUAGAAUAAUAGACGCUUACUUUAUUCUUAAAUUUUGGAAAGUUAGAGUGAUCUAAUAACGUUUAGAAUCAUCAAUACUUCUAUCUAGAGGCCCAAAUAAGUAGACACACUGAGAUACUGAAACUAAACUUAUAAUUUAAUCCAUUUGAAAAAUCAGAAUAUGGAUGAGUGGAUACAUACUCAUUACUAUUUUGAAGUCCAUAGUUCAAUCGACCAUUCGCUGAACUAAAAAAAAUACCUUAAAUAUUGUAAUCAGAAUGGUCUAAACUCUAAGGAUGGUACUAGAAAGAAAUGAAUAAAAAAGGAAAACAAGAAUGUGGACUUCCACGUGGAAGUCCACUAAAUUUGGUCAAAGAAAACGUGUAAAGCUUCAACUCCAUUGUGUUCAUCAGCAAUAUAAGAUACUCAACACUAAUUAACAACAAGUUCCUCAUAAAGUUAUAUAGAGAGGGCGUAGUCGGCAUAUUGUGAAAGUGUAUGUAACGGGCAAACUGAUGAAGGAUUUCUGUGGGUUUUGGAAGACAGAAUUGACCUAGUUUGUUUGGAAAGACUUAUCAUUUUUGGCUCGUGGGUACUUGGAUUUUACAUCAAAACAAAGCUUUGGAGAGAGAAAGAGAGUAAAAGAGAUGGAAAGAAAAUCCAAAGUUAUUAGAAUAAUGGAGAAAGGGCACCACCAUGAGUGAUGCAGCUUUUGUUUUGUGGUCGCUUUCAAGUUCUCUUGACGCAAACAGGCAUUAUUGACAUGAGAGAAAAUGAGUCAUCCAGCAAUAUGUGAUUAAUAAAGCACAUGCCUUGCAUCCAAAACAACAGUGCACAUUACUUAUUGAACCAAUCAAUCGUGAGAAACUUAACACAAAUUUCAAAAUUCACACGUUCCAAUUUGACUAUUACUAUCCUGUACCAGAUUCCUAGUAUCCAAGUAGGAUCAACUUCCAUAGCCCUAUAGAAAUUCCUACCCAUAUGCUAAAAAGGAUAGCUCUGAUUUAAAUAUACUUUUUCUCCCUAGUCUAAUUCUAUUUUGCAAUAUUUUUAAACAAUACAAAUCAAUUUUAAAGUUGAACAGUUCAGCUUAUCAGAAAUGUCCACUGAUCCGGAUUUGGUUAGUUUAGAUAAGCAGAAAUUUUGAAUGGGUCCAAGACUAGACUCGUACCUCAGUGGAUGACAUGAUUGAGAAUGAUGGAAACGACUAGAUUAACUGAAUCAUCCAUACUUGGUUUCCUCUUCUCCACGCUAGUCAACUCAUAUUCAAAGCGCUAUUUAUGAGUUUUUUCUUCUUCUUAUUUUUGUUAGUUGAAUUAGAUUUGGGAUUGGUGAGAUUUGAUGAGAUCCAAAAACCUCUUACCUCUUGGUCAAAACUCGUGAGUAUAAGCCUAAUCCACUUAAACUAGUUCUGGAAAUGGGCUAUUUCUGAAUUGACUUUUUUAUAAAAAGAAAAAGAAAGAAAAAGAAAAUUGCUUUUACUCUUUUCUGGUAGUUUAAAGUAAGAGAGAACACGAAUAUUUCAGAGAAAAUUUUGCUCUUGAAAUCAAUCAAUAAUACAAUCAGACAGCAUUGAAUUGGACUUAAAGCCCACAAACUAGCUAAGGCCCAAACUUACUAAGGAAGAGAUUUAACCUGGAAUUUGUCACCAACUGCAACUUUACAAUUAUUCAAGCAGAUGCCUGUUCUGCAGCAGCUGCUGCAGCCUUUUUCUUUGCAAAGUAUUCCUCUGCACGUGCGAGGUUCUUAGCCACUGAUGGCUUAACCCAUUUCUUUCGGCCAGGUAAAACAGUUAGGGAGCAGCCAGCAGCUUCAAGUUUCUCUUUUGCUGCUGAUGAAAAGGCCCGAGCUUUGAUGUUUAGCUUUACACUUAGCUCUCCAUCCGCUAAAAUCUGAAGGAAAGAUAAAGUUAAACAAUAUGAAUCAGUCACCAGAACUUCGAUCAUUUAAGAGACAUCUGUUUAAAUCACCCAGUUUUCAUUUCACUUGGAGUAGAAAAGUGCAUCACACAUCAAAUUUUCAUAUCAACUUGUGUGAUCUUAACAAUGUAGAUAUUUGUGACAUUGGUACCUUUAAUGGGAGUUUCCUUUCUCUUCCUGAUGGGUUGAUCAAACCCUUCUCUUUUAAAGAUUCCAAAGAUACCUCUUCCCCUUCCUGAAAUCCCGCCUCUUCAAUGUCUUUAAGAUUCACUGGCACAUAUUUAGGUAACCCAGCAUGCAUACCUUGAAAGCAAAAGCAAUUGUUCAGCUCGAAUAUCUUGAGUUCAAACAAAGGUGACCACAAGAAAAACAAAUACAAUACACGAUAUAUCAUCUUGGAGUGUUCUUUUUAUGAAAAGAUAGAGUAAAGAAUGAGAAGAGAAAUGGGAAGAGAAAAACAGCUUUCUUUUAAUAAAAAAAACAUUGGAAUAUAUUCAUCAAGAUAGCUGACAGAAAAACCUAAGGGCAGGGGGUAGAGGAAACCCCCUCCCACAGAGCUAAACCAAAAGGAAAUCGGUAAAAUCCACUCUUUACAUGAGAUUGAAAUACCUCUCAUAGACUAACCAUUCUAACCAAAGGCAUAGCUAGUAAACAAGAACAAGGAUAUAACUAUACAAGAUACUACGUUAUAGAGAGAUUUUUGUUAGGUCCAUAGAUUUUGUACUCUGUAUGGGAGCUUGAGAAAUCACACUUCAUUAGACACUCAACCCAAUAUGAGAGCUUUUCUGAAUUCUUUUGACUAGGUUGAGAGACAAUCUAUUCCUCUCAUUGUCGUAAUCCCCAUCUCAUUUAUACAUCAUUACCAUUUCCAAGAAAGCAAAAAGUAAAUUAACAGUCUCCAAUAUCCAGUUUGAAGAGUAUUCAAUCUUCCACGCUGUGGGAUACUUGAAGAUCUUCAUCAUGAACCAUAACAGCUUCCUAGUCACUCUAGCCCAAACACCACAAUACAAAGCAUCGAUUACGUUUCAAGCAACCGGGAGAUGGAUGUGCACCUAUGGAGUGGCUACUUUUCUCCCUUGCCCUAGCCUCCUGAAAUCUAAAAAGGCCUAAUGCCCUCCAUCGAGGAAUAAGGAAUUACAUAAAUUACAAGUGCAAUAAUUCCAAACAUUGCUCCAACAACCUGCCAAGUACUAAAUAGGUAAAAAUAAACGGAAUGGAAGUUUUUGGGAUAAGGGUGAAAAGAAAAUUGGAACGCUCCGAGUCUCCCUCAAUGAAGCAACCAUAGUCUAUAGCACUAAAUAGGUAAAAAUAAAUGGAACUUACGUUUUCAGGAUAAGAGUCAAAAAGAUGAUUGGAACUCUCCCUCAAUGAAGCAACCAUAAUCUAUAGCACUAAAUAGGUAAAAAUAAAUGGAAUGGAAGUUUUCAGGAUAAGACUACAAAAGAUAAUUUGAACUCUCCCUCGAUGAGGCAACCAUAAUCAAUAGCAGAAUGAACAAUUGCGAUUGCACCAAACUAGCAAGCUAAGAUACGAAGAGUUGUAGAAUUCAUACACAAAAGGCAACUAAGCAGAAGAAUGAUAGAAAUUACCUCCUGCAAUUCCUCUAAGCUUGGGGAUUCUCCGAUAAAGAGGCAUUUGACCACCUUCGAAUCCUUUUCUUACACCAGGUCCAGACCUUGAUUUUUGUCCUCUCAUUCCAAACCCACAGCUACCGCCCUGCCCCGCCGAUAUACCUCUCCCCUUUCUCUUGCCCCUCUUCCUCGAACCCGGCUGUGGUCCGAGGUUGUCAAGACGGAACCGCACAUUCUCGGCGGGGGAGGCAGACAGGGAAGAAGCAGCAGCUUGGUUGCGAACAACCAAGUGUUUACCAUCUACAGACUUAGACUUGAGUCUGAGUGAAGAAAUGCUGAGGUGCUUUGAGUUGAGAAUAUUAACAUUUCCCUGGAAAAGCAUCAACACAGAAGGAAAUUGAAGUGAGAUAAGGAGUUGAAUUUGAAAUUAAGAAAGUAAAGAAAGAAAUAGGGAAGGUAAUGUGAUAUACCUUGAAGGAAGUGGUUGGAUAAGGGAGAGCAGUGGCUGUUCUGGUCAAGGAAGGUGAAGAUAAGGAAAAGAGGGCAGCCAUGGAUAAGCUGGAACUGAAUGUUUACAGUUGACGUUCCGUUCUUUCUCUUUUCUUCGCAAUGGGACGAUGCGGGCCUAAUGGGCCUUUGUUGUUGCCAUCACGAUUGGGUCCGUUGGAAAUUUUGGGCUUUUCUUCUUACAUAUGUAAAUAUGAAAACAUUUGUAAUAAUAUAUCAAUUACACAAGUUUGUCACUAACACAGACUAUAUAAGUGUGUGCUAACUAUAGAAGUAGCAAUCUAAGUUAAGAUAGUAAAUGAUAAUUUGUCACCUUCUCCACUUUCUUUCGAUCUUCAAAAUCUUUCCUACAUUUAGUUUCAAAUUUCAUACAUCUUAUCAAAUAUAGUCACGACCUCAAUUAAAUGUAUCAAAUUAACUAAACUUUUAGCUCAAAAAUCCGAAAAACCAUUAAAAAUAUUUGAAGAUAACUGAUUUAAACGUUAUCUCACGAGUUAAGGAUGUCUCAUUCUUUCCACCUUACUAACAUUCAUCCUCAAAAGUUAGGAUUUGAAUGACUUAGGGGGGAUUUGUUUUCAUAGGUUACUCUAAAAAAACACUUUCACUCUAAUUGGUUUACAACCUUUCUUUCAAAAUCAUUUUUCAUAAUAUUUUGUCUAUAUUUUUUUUCUUCAAUUUUGUUUUCUAAAAUUGGUUUCUCACAAACAAUGUUUCCUUGAACGGCCUUAUUUUAAAAAACUUAUUUUCGAAACUAGGAUUUCUCCACUGGAUUAUGCUUUGGUUUAAUUGACAUCUUAACUUGAAUGCAAUGUAAUCGACCACCUUUAAAUUUUCACCAAAUCACAAUGGUUACAAAGACAAACGUAAACGAUAUCUACUUUUUAAAAUUAUCCUAUAAUUUUUUUUCACUUCGUAAACCUUUUAAAUAUAUUUUAGAUAAAAUUGGGGAAUUUGCAAAAAUAGCAAAAAAAAAAAAAAAUGAUAAUAGAGUUAAUGUCACUGCAUUUUUCAAAUUGCAAAUGUAGCAAAUUUUAAAGUUGAUAGUCAUUUGAUAGCACCAUAAAAGCCGUAUGAUAUAACUAAUAUAAAUUUGGUUUGUUAGAUGUGUUAUUAAAAACAAUGUUGUAAACUCAUAGAUUUACGUGAGUUUAGUUCAGAGUCUUCGUUCAUGUUUACAAAUUUAGAAGCUUGAAUGAGUUUCUUAAAUUGGAAAGUAACAUGAAAAUAUUAUCCUAUCUAGAGGAAGUCGAAGAUUUUGUUCACUAGUAGUUAAAUUUUAUCGCCAUUAGUGUGAAAAUAAAAUUUAAAAACAAAAACCACAGGUCAUUGUGUUUUUUCAAAUAAUCUGUUUAAUUUUUUGUUUUUAGAAAUCAGAUUGAAAAGUGGGAACAGAAAUAUAGGAAACAUGUUUUAAGUUUUUGAAAAGAUAAAAGAAGGAAUAAGUAAGGAAAGGGAGGCCCAAUAGUGGGAUACAUUUGACCAAUUGGGCCUAUAUUGGGCCUGAUUAAUUAUGAAGUUAUAAAGGGGAAGGGAGGUUGGGUGUGGUUUCGUCGGCAAGCAGCAGAGAGAAAAUGUACCACUCGUGGCUUACCGACUCGUAUUAGUCAGAUUGAUGGAUAUGUUAUGUAUUGUUACCAAAUCCAAUACCAAUUUUUUCAAUUCUUCAAUUCCUAAAUUUGACCCUCAACUCUUAAAAACGACUUAUAUCUAACACCUUUCUAUUUCAAUUCCUUUUUUUCUCCUCAUCGGUCCCCAAUAUUCCAACAUUUCUUUUUUCCUUUAAUAAUCACUUUUAUUUCCCCCCCCCCUCCCUUUCUCUUACUCAAAUAUAUAUAUAUUAAAACAGUCAACCCCACUGUGUUAGUCAAAAACAAAAAACCAAAACAAAGUUCUCAAUUUCUCAAUUUGGGUGAUUAAUGGUCGGUGCAAAAAGAUAAAAAUGAUAACAAAUGCAAUCCCUUUUCUUUCCUUUUUCUUCAUGAAAUUGCGGUACCGUCAAACUCAAAAUUAAACCAAACGUCAUGUCUCUCUCUCUAUUCCCAUAUUGAAAAGAAAAAAAAAAAAAAAAAAAAUGAAGUUUUGGGUUUUCCUUUUGUCUUAAUUUUUGAUAUAGGAAAAGAUGGUGAAAAAGAAAAAGAAAAGGUUGAUCGGAAAAGUAGAGAAAGGUUGAACUUUAGAAGCUGACUUUUGUUCAUAAUUUAAAAAACAAAACGAAACCCUUAAAAGAAAUAACAUCAAUCAUUAACUUUUUGACUUCUUUCUUCUUCUUCUUCUUCUUCUUCAGAAAGAGAAUGUCUUCUUGUUAUAAUACAUUUAAAAAUGAAAAAUAAAAUAAAAAGAGAGAGAGAGAGAGAGAGAGAGAGAGAAUUGCUUUUAUUUCCUUUUUCCUUUUCACUAUUUUCAUAUUUCCGACAUAUUUUUCAACUCCCCAGACUAAUUGGGAGUUACCGUCGGUCGGUUAGUAACGGAAGAAAAAGCACUUUAUUAUUAUUAGUAUUAUUAUUACAUUUUUGGGUUAUGCUUAUAAAGUAGAAAAGUGAUUUCAUUUUCAAAAUUUGUUUUCUAGAAAAAGAAAACUACUUUUAUGGCUGACUGUCGGUUCUCUACGAUUCCACCGUAAAUUUUGUUUUCGUUUUAAAACGUGGGAGCAAACUUUGAGGUUUAAAAAAUAGUGUGCAAUUGAAGAAGAAACAUAAGAAAGUGAACAUUUAAUUUUGGACAAAAAGAAAAAAAAAAAGAAGAAGACUUUACAAGAAAUGUGUAUAUGAUAAUAUCUAUUAUAAUCAUUACUUUCUUACCGUCAAAUUUGAAUAAUUAAUUCACUAAACAGUACAAACUUUAAUGGUAUGUUUUGGAAUUGGAAGUUGAAAACUAAGAAGAUUGAUAAUUUAGAGACAUAUUUUCCAUCUUCAAACAAAGAAUUAAACAAUAUUUAUUUCUUGUCUAUUUUCCUUCUUCAUAGUAUUAGACCAAACCCCUUUUUAAUUUACUUUUACUUUUCAAGUUUGACAAAUUUGAACUCUCAGAAUUUCAAAACUUGAUUUUGGUUAAUUGGUUCAAACAAAUUAAACCUUUUAAUAAUAGAAAACAGGAUUUAAACUAAGUUGAUAUGGAUAUAUAGAAUUUAUAUUCAACAUAAAAAUUUAAAGGAAUUUGACCAUGCAACAAAUAUAUAUUUGGAUGUUUGAAUUGAUUGACUUGAUUAUAUAUAUAUAUAUAUAUAUUAAUAAUAAUGGUUGAAAUGAAAAAACUUGAAUUAUUUUAAAGUUAAACAAAAAGUUAUGUAGAAAAAAGAAGCUGCUAAAAUGCCUUCAAUUCAACUGAUUUAAAAUAAAUGAGAUCUCCUCUGAGUUUCUAAAGGUGUGAUUUUCUUGUCUUUGACUACAAAUAAAGACAGGAAAUUAAAUGGAAAGUGUUCAAACAUUUUUCUACAAAACCAUGACUUUAAAUGGAAUUCAAAGAUUGAAUUUCAAAUUUCAAACCCUUUUCUCUCUCUCUCUGUCAAAUAAUAUUAAUUAAAGAACAAAAUAGACAAUUCAUAUGCAUGUAAGUUUAUGUUUUUUUUUCCUUCUUUUCUUUUCUUUAGGGUUAUGGUAUGAAUUUCGAAAGAGAGAUGUUCCUAAGUUUAAGGCAUUGAAUUGGCGAAUUGGAUUGCUUUGGGCAACGGCACAACACAUGACUAGUUUUAUGUCCAAAUAAUAACAUCAUCUAUUUAAGUUUUUUUUAUUUUUAUUAUUAUUAUAUAAAAAAAUUGCUUCUUUCAUCAUUAUUUGGUUUAAUAAUUAUUUUGUUUUUAGUUUUAUGGGUUUUUAAUCAAUUAUAUUUUAAAGCAAUGUGAAAAAACAAAUUCAACUUCCAUAUUUAUUAAUACUUUAAAUUUACAUAAUUAUUUGAGAAACAAUAUAGUAUUUGAGAUAGUGAUAUGCCAACAAUAAACCUAGAGAUCAUCAAGAGUAGUCAUAAUCUAAAUGAAUAAUAAUACAGAAAAUCUAAAAACCUUAUCAAGAUUUGAUGAAGUUUGCAGAUUCACAAAAAUGAAAUAGUUCUUCAAAAUUUUCAAUCAUUAGAUGCUCCAUUAUUCGAUACCAUAUUAAAUCAUUAUAUAGAGCAAAGUAUCAUUUAAUUUAAUCAAAAUCUUUAAUUUUCUUGCCUAAGAAUGACGUACGACACCUAAUUCAUUUGCAAAUUUGAAUAUAUAUGUAUAUAUAUGAUUUAAGGCAUGCCCACUUUUCCUAUGAUUUUGAACAUCUUAUUAAUUAACGAAGAAAAAGAGAGAAAGAAUAUAUAUAUAUAAUUACAAGUGAAAUAUAUGAUAUAUGUAAUUAAAAAAGAAAGGUGGAGGGGGACAAGGAGAAGUGUGGAAUUUGUGGUUAAUGUAUAUAUUGUAAUAAGGGGGAAAAUGUAUAAGGUGGUAUCCUUGCUGAUUGGUCCCCUAAAUAGAAGCUAAAAAGGAGCAAUACAUAAGUGGACUAGUUGGGGAGGUUGGUUGAAUUUUAGACAUAAAAUAAGAUGUGGGUCUCAAAUGUGUUACAAACUCUAAUUAUAAACUCCCCUUUUUCUUUACCCUACAUAUCUACGACGUCAACCCCGUCACGACAACAUUUCUCCAAAUACUUUUUUUUCAUCAUCACUUCAAUCGUUAUAUAAAUAAUACGUGAAUGAACCAAUAUCACGUCAAAAAUUAAUAUUAGAAUUUAAUUGUUAAGCUACUCGAGCUAGGUAAGCAUAGAAACGAAAUUUAUGAUGUGUUUUUUUGGUUUAGCUUUUCAAUUUUGGAAUUAAGUCAUCACUACAAAAUGUAGGGGUGAGCAUGAUGGACCAAAAAAUCGAGCCAAUCGAUCAAAUCGAAAUUAGUCGAUUUGGUUUCAGUGUGUUUCAAGUCGAGAAUUUUCGACAAGUAUUUCUAAGUGUUAAAUCGAUCCGAUCCGACAAAAAUCAACAAACUGGCCGACCUUUACUCAUCAAUGUUGAGGUCGAUUUGAACAUUUACUAAACUGACUAUGUUUGGUUCAUGAUUGAUUUUGUAAAAAAAAGAAAAAUCAACUUUAAUGAACCGAUAAUCACCCCUAGUAAAAUGUUUGAGUGUUUGGUAAGUAAUUAAUCAAAUAUAUUUUUUAUCGUAAAAAAAUGAGUUUGAAUUAUGUUUGGGUUUAAGAUUAAUGCUUAAAAACGACUUUUUAAAAGAAAAAAAAGAAGAUUUUUUAGCAUUUAAUACUUAGGCUCCUAAUUUGUAUAAUUCUUAAAAUGAUCAAAAUUUCACUAUGUUGCCAUGGAUUGUGGCCUACCACCUCCGAACAACUAACACUUAAGAGAUCAAUAAAAACAACUUUAGUAUAUAAUAAACUAAAUAAAAACUUGAGUAUAAAAGCUAGUCGUUUGAGGAAGAGUUGUCAGAAAAACACACGAGGUAUUUUAGUUGAAUUUUUUGAAAAAAACCAAAAGUAUUAGUACGCUUGAAACCAACUUUUCGAAAAACGUUUAUUUUGGAUGUAAUUCAAACACCAGUAAUAUGAUUAUGAAUAUGAAUGAAUAAGAAAAUAGAUGUAGGUUGGAAGUUUAAUUUGAUAAGGUAUAGAAGAGAUGAUUAGGUUUAAGUUUAAAAAAAGAAAGAACAAAAUUAUAUGAUGAGGCGUAGAGAUAUAGGCUAUAGGGAGGGUUUUUGAUGUGAGGGGUUUGGGUUUUUGCUUGGUUUGUACUACACACCAAAUGAAAGGGGGUCUCACUCACUCACUCGGGGAAGGGGAAGGGGCAGGAACCGGCAUGGGACCAUUCCCAUAACGCCUGCCGCCGGAAGUGGGGAUCACAUGGAGACAACAUUUCAAACAUACCCUUCCUUCUUCCAUUAUUCUUGCCUUCACUCUCUCCACACACCCACUUUUCUAUGUUUUCUUUCCCAAACAUAUCAUUAAUUAAUAACACUUAUUAUUAUUAUUUUUUAUUUAUCUAACAUUAAAUAAAUCCCAUCUCUUCUACUAUAUAACUAUAUAACUAUAUAACUAUAUAUUAUAUAUAUAUGUGCUCAACUUGCAAUUAGCUUUUUAAUAAAGCGCCAUUUUCGAGUAUACACCCUUAAAGGUGUACUUUGUGUACACCAUGACAAAAAUAAUACACACCUUUCUCAUACCUUUAACUUCACUUAUGUAAUUGUUUUUCUUCAUGUAAGACAAGCUGGAUGAGGAGAUAAUUACGUUUAAAAAAUAAAAAUUAACAGUAACCUUUUUGUAGAGGUGGGAGGUAAUCAUCUUUUGAAGAUAAGGUUGAUUGUGUGUAAAUAAAAUAUGUUGGAUUGAGUUAGGGUAAUGUUGUGUUUGUUUUUGGGGAUUGAGAAUAAUUGUAGGAGUAAAUCAACUUUGGAUUAGGCUGUCAAAGUAGUUAAAUCGUAAUUUGGGAUGUGGAUUGUAUUUGGGCUACGUACACCCAAAUAUAUAAGUGCAUCCAAGUUUUUCUCCUAAGAUAGCUCCUAAAAGCAUCAUUACUGUCAACCUUGAUAAAUAUUCUUCAUGGCAACAUGGGUUGUCAUGCAUAAUAUUAGGUCAAAAAUCAAUCUAUACCUCUAAAUUUUAGGGAUGUCCAAAAAUUUAUUCGUAAAUGCUAUAAUUAAUUUAAAACUGGAGAGAAACCCAGGCAUGAGAAAUUAUGAAAUGUGUUUUUUUCAUUUAAUCUAAUGCAUGAUAAUUUAUCUCUACUGUUUAGUUACAAAAGUACUUUAUAUACGCGACUUUCUAAAAGUUAAUUUAAAUGGAAUUCAAGUUAAUUGAGUUUAAAUUUAUUCAAUUAUUAAAUUUUAGAACUUUAAAGAUUUUUUUAACAGAAAAUGUCCAUUCGAUUGGAUCAUAGUUAAGUCGAUAAUAAUUAUGGUGAACAAUGAAACCCUUUAUUUACAAAUCUUGAUUCUUAUUUUAAUUGAAUUUAAUACAUAAUUUUACAAUUCAUUAAACGAUGAAAUGUAUUAUUUAGUAAAAUUGUAUUUUAUAUAAUUAGAUUAUUUUUAGUAUAUAUAUACACUUCCAUUCUAAAAAAUCUUGACUUGUGUAAGUCCCAUUAAUACGUAAUAUUGUGAUAUUUAUUAAAAUAGUUACUGUUUUUUCUUAAUGACUAUUGAAAUUAAUAAGUAGUGUCACGAAAUAAUAAUAAUAUUUGGACAAAAUUAAGGGUGUUGCAAUAAGUAAAAGUGAAUUAGAAUAUUAUUGCUUUUUAGUUUGACGGAUGAAUUACAACUUACAAGUUUUAAACAAUUUUAAAACUCCCGUUGGCAUAUCACUUUACGCCGUAUAAAAUACUAUUUGAUUCUUUGCUUUCAUUACUUUUUUUUUUUUUUUUUUAAAUGUUAUGGUGUCAAAAUAAUAGCAAUAAUUAAUUCUUAAUUUACUGAGAGGAAAAGAAAAAAAAAUAACGAGGAGUCGAGUGUGGUACUGUUCCAACAUCAUGGUGCUUAAUCCAAAUGUGAUGGUUUAUAUAUAUUUGAAUAAUAUUGAAUUAUAUAUUGAAGUAGUGUUAAUUAGAAUUGAAUCUUUAUAGUUCAACUCUUUAAUUACUUUUAUUAGAGUUAUACUUAUCUUAUCUUAGUUGAGUCAUUGUUCAAGUGGUACUUAUUAAUAAUAUAGUAAAAAAAAUAUAUAAGUUUUGGUGCAUUGAGGUUGGUGUAAUCCAUUCAAACAUACAACACUUGUAAAAUUAGAAAUCAGAAAAUUACAAGAUAAACAUUCUUAGAUGACAAUAAUAUAUAUUUUGGUGGAUUUUAGUUUUUUUUUUUUAAUAUAUAUUUUGAUUCAUCAAUAUAUCUCAACCAAUUAAAUUGUAUUUAAGUGGACUAUAAAUUAAUUUAAAAUAGUAAAAGUAAAAUGAAAUUAUAUUUAGAUAGUAUUAUUAAUGCUUUCAAAAGUCCAAUAUAUGGAAAAUGAAUUUCUAGAUGUUUAAUCCAUUUUUAGUCAAAGGAAAAAAAAAAAAGAGAUUAAUUUAAACAAAACCCAAUGAGAAAUUCACCAAAAAUAUUAAUUUAGAAGGAGGGAGAUAUUUCUUAUCAAAUAUUUUCAAAUCAAUUAUUAAAAAAACUAAAAAAAAAGGUCUGAGGAAGAAAAGCAUUCAAAUAAAUAAGUGAUGCCCACCAAAGUUGAAAAACACUGAGAAGAGAGAGAGAGAGAUAGAGAAAUUAGAGAAAUGCGUGUUGGUUCAGCAUCUUCCUUUAAUCUCAUGACACUCUCUUCUUCUUCUUAUUCUUCUUCUUCGUCUUCUUCUUCGUCAUCGUCUUCUUCUUCAUCUAAAAUCUUCAUCUUAAACAUUCCAUUUUCUCGCCGGAAAAAACGGCAGCAGGUAAAAGCCAUUGCCGCCGCUGCCACCACCGGAAAAGAUCAAAAUAUUCUCGUGAUAAUGGGUGCCACGGGGUGCGGCAAAUCUGGCUUAUCCGUUCAGCUAGCCUCUCACUAUCAAUCUGAAAUCAUAAACUGCGACAAAAUGCAGGUUUAUAAAGGUCUGGACAUUACAACUAACAAGAUUCCCCUUCAUGAACGACAUGACGUCCCACACCAUUUACUCGGAGACGUCGAUUCCAUUCACCAAGAUUUCACUCCCUUUCAUUUCAGACUCCGUGCCGACAAUGUCGUUUCAGAUAUAGCCUCUAGAAACAAACUACCUAUUCUAGUAGGUGGGUCCAACUCCUUCAUUCACGCAAUGCUCGUAAACCAUUUCAAUCCAAACCACGACGUUUUCACUCCCAAAUCCCUUAUUUCAUCCCACUUACGUUACCGUUGUUGUUUCCUUUGGUUAGACGUUGAGUUUCCCAUUUUGGCCGAAUAUCUUUCCAUUCGAGUUGAUGAAAUGCUUCAAAUCGGAAUGUUCGAGGAAUUAGCUGAGUUUUACGAUCCCCAUACAGCGGAAACCAUGCCGUAUACUGGGAUUAGAAAGGCAAUAGGAGUUCCGGAGUUUGAUAAGUACUUCCAAAAAAACCCGCCCAGUAAAAAAAGUGGGAUUGAUAGAGAAGCGUUUGAAGAAGCGGUUGAAGCCAUAAAAAGGAAUACCCACGUGCUGGCGGAGAGACAGAUAGGGAAGAUAUUGAAACUGAAAGAGGCGGGUUGGGAUAUAAACGUGUUAAAUGCAACGGAGGCGUUUAGGGCGGUGGUGGAACCGGGAACAGGCCGGAACAGGAAGGAGAUUUGGGAAAAGGAGAUUUUGGAACCAAGUUUUAGGAUUGUCAACCGAUUCUUGAAGGAGUAGUAGGUUUUGUUCGUUAAAUUUGUAAGUUAUAAUAAUAUUAUUAUAAUUUGUGCUUCCUCGCAUUUAAUUUUUCCCACAUGAAGAAACACACACCGGCGAAACGAACGAAAGUUUGAGUUGAAGAUCGACGUCCGAAGAUCCACAGGACUUUUCCGGCUGAGAAAAUUGGUUUGUACUUAGCGAGUGAAGAUUUCUCAAAAUAAUUUUUAAAUAUACAUACUUCCACAUUCAAUAUACAAUUUUUUUUUUUGUUUUAAAUUUCUUGUGCUUUUAACAUUUCUUUUCUCUUCUGAUCUCUCUCUCUCUUAAAUUCCUUUUUAUAUGGCGAGGAAAUUAAUUAAAUAAAUAAAGUAGUUAUGUUCACCUUGUAUAUAUUUUAUCAAGUACUUAUUGUAAUCGAUUUAAUAUAAUACAUUCGAUUCUUUAUAUAUAUAUAUAUAAUCAAAGCUAUGAAUCAAGUUGGGUUAUUUAUUCAUUUUAAAUCUUUUAGUUAUAACAAUUCCUUCUCCACUUUCAAAAAAA